rnacentral:lncRNA from 1 species
CAUAGUCCUUAUUGACUUAAAGAAAAUGGCUUCUCCUGUAUUUCAUUUUGUUAUCGUGUGAAUGUAAUUAUUGCAAUUAACAUGUUUAUAUUUUUCAUCAUUAGUCUGCUGCCCUUUUUACCAUAAGAAAAAUAGGGGGUAGGGAACUUAAAUUUUGCAUCUUCCUCUGGUUUUCUCAUACUGAAAAAUUCAUUGAAUGAUUAUUUGGUGUGCUUCUACUGAUUCAACCUAUUUGUUCAAGAUGCUAUAAUUUAAGUUGUGGUUGUCAGCUUUGUUAUGUUUAGUAUUUUCUCGAGUUAAAUUAGAUUUCAUGAAGUCACUGAUACUCAGUUGACAAAGUGGAUGUUGAGCAAAGGACAAUGAGCUAUGAUAGGAACAUAUGACACCCUUCUGCUUGUAUUUGAUAUGGAUAAUAGAGUGGAUGAGGCUGGAUCAUUGUGGAACAAGGUUUUACAUACACACAAUCAUUCUAUCUCAAAGCGAUUGUUUUCUAGGAACUAUAAGUCCAUGUAACUAUAGGACUGCUUCAGCUAUCUCUUUUUUAUAUUUUUGCUCAAGCAGCUCAAGAAUGCUCUCUUUUAGCAGGUGAACGAGUCAAUGAGAUUAUGGGAAGCUCAUAUUACAUGGCUCCAGAGGUUCUUAAAUGUAAUUAUUGUAACAGCCCAAUUUCGGUGAAAUCGGAACAGUGGUUCGGGACCACAAAUCCGAGCCGAAAAUAAAAUUUAUUUUUAUUUUAUUAUAUGGUCCGUAUUAUGUUAUUAAUGUCAUGUGAAAAUUUUGAAAAGAAAAUUUUAUCGAUUAUGUGCUUAAUUACGAAAAGGACCAAAUCGCAUAAAAUGCAAAAGUUGAAUUCUAGUAGCUAUAAGGAUUAAAUAGCUAUGGAAUUCAAAACUUGAGAUCCUUAUAUGGUAAUUAGACCAUUAAGUAAAAUUAUGUAGAUAUUUUGGUGACUCAUCCAUGAAAAUUUAGAAAAAUGGCAAGGAUUAAAUUGGAAAGUGAAAAUAUUUAGUUAAUUAAAAUAUGAUAAAAUAGAUAUCAUCUUAUUUUCUCAUCUUCUUCCCUAAAAUAAUACAUGGAAACCUUAGAAGAGAGAGAAGAAACUUUCAUAGCCAAAUUGGGUAAGUUUCCUUGGCCCGUUUUUAGUAAUUUUGAUAUUUUUGAAACUGGGAUAGCUUAAUCUAUUUAUUUUGGGGAUUAAUUUGAAAAGUUAUAAAAGUAUGGAAAAUGGGUCAUGGAUGAAUAUACUGAAAAUUAGAAAUUUAUGGUAGAAAAUGAAAGGCUGUUGAUAGAUAAAUAACUUUUACAAGGUGAUUUUUGUUGAAAACAUGAUUUAGAGACUAAAAUGUAAAGUUGUGAAAUUUGAUGAAAAAUGCUGAAUUUUUAUGAAUACAUGUGUUGUAAUGGGAUUUUGGUUAGGCUUGGAAUAGGGAGUAAAUUGCACAUAUUUUAUUUUCCGAGCUUAGGGAUGGAAUGAAAAGUUAUGGAAAAGUUAGGGGCAAAAUGAUAAUUUUGCCUAGGAUGAAAAUUAAGUCCACUUGAAUGUGAAAUAUGGUAAAUUUAUGUUAAAUUUACUUGUAUAGAUCCGAAUAGACCAAAUUCGGAGCAAGAAUGAGGAAAGAGGAAAACGUCGGAUUAGUAGAUUUUACGUACAUGAACAUUGUCAAGGUAAGUUCGUGUAACUAAAUUGUAUAUGUUUUUAUGCUUGAAUUAAUGUUGAGUUUGUGAAUUGUAUAAAUUCCAUAAAUGCAUACACGUUAAAGCCCGAUAAAUGAAAGUGCCCGAUCAAUUAUAAUGCCCGACAAAUGAUAAAUGAUAAAAAUGUUAAUUUUAUGCUUGAGUUGAUUGUGAACAUUUGAAUUGCAUAAUUGCAUAAAUAUAUGGGAUUGAUCACAUGCUUGAUAAUGCUUGAAAGAUGCUAAAUUUCAUUUAAAUUAAUGGAAAAUUCGAUUGAUAUGUGAUUUCCCAAAAUGAAUGAGGUCUUGCAUUUUGUUGCGGACGGAAUUUAACUCGGACAGGUAAUCCUGAUAUGAAUCCUCUAGAGCAUAUGUUAUGGAUUGGAUUUAGCUCGGACGGGUAAUCCAUAUCAAGCUCUUUAGAGCAUAUGUCAUAAAAAAGGAUUUAGCCUGGACUAGUAAUUCUGUUAUAUACGUGUCUGGCUCAAGAGUGUACUCUCUAAAAUAGUACCUUAUAAGUACCAUUGAAUAUGAAUUGACGGACUUGAACAGGAUCUGUUCUAUAGGCUCGUACCUCUGUGUCCUUAAGUUCAAAAGAAUAUGAAUUGACGGAUUCUGAUUUGUACACCUUAGGUGUACUAUAGGUGUAUUCAUCGAUGUUCUGAACAAAUUCAACGGGUAAAAAUCUUGACAUGAAAGGACAUGAAUAAAAAAUGAGUUAUUACACAUAGUUGUCUGAAAUCCAUGAAAAUAAUGCUACAUGACGAAUGGUAUAUGAAAACAUGAGAUGAUGAUAAUUGUACAUGGACUUUAUUUGAUGAAUAUAUGUUGAUUCUUGAUUAUAGACUUGUACACCUUGAGUGCACUAACCAUAACCUUGAUAUUCCGAGUAAUAUGAGUAAAGUUCUGAUAUGAAAUGAUCUGAACUUGAAAUAAACUAGUAUGAAAUUAUACUUGAGAUAUAGCAAUGUGAAUUAUACAUGUUGUGGAAAGCAUAUGUGCAUGGAAACUUGAUUGUUAUUGAGCCCAUACAUGUUUCUGAUGUUAUUAUGGAAUAUAUGACUAACUAGGGCAAUGAGGAUAUGUGUAGGGCUUGAGGUCAAAUUGAAUGAAUGUUCCUUACAUAGUUAACUCAAAAUAGAAUGGAUGGUAAGUUAAGUACCAUGUUAUACAAACUUACUAAGCAUUUUAUGCUUAUUUAGUUUUAUUUCCCUGUUUUAUAGUAAAUCGGAAGCUCGUUGGAGAUCACUCACACUAUUCAUCAGCCCGUGUCGUAUAUUAUGAUAAAUCAAUUAUGGUUGUAAUGGCAUGUAUAGGUUAUAUUGGCCAUAUUGGCAUGUAAAUGUAAAUGAUGCUUGUAAUCUAGCCAUUGGAAUGGCUAGUAAUGGUUUGUUUUGAUAUACUUGUAAUGUCAAACUAUGGUAGCUACAUAUAUGUUAAGUAGUUGAUCAAAUUAUGUCUAACUUGAGGACUUAACUAAGGUAAGAUUAUAGACAUGUAUGCACGUAAUGGUAUGCCAUAAUAAAUGAUGGAAUUUGUUUAAUUUGAAUGCUUGGAAUAGUUGGUAUUGGAUGUGUGCUUCAAGUGCAGGUCAUGGGUGUGUUUUUGGGUGAGAAAUGAAGCUAGAAAUAGCUUUAUUUUGUCCACACGAACAUACAGAAGGGCGUAUGUCUAGACCAUGUGUGACACACGGUCAGGUACAUGGGCGUGUAGUUAGGCCGCGUGUCCCUUUUACCCUAAAUUUUGAGAAACAAAAUGCUUAGAAUUGAGCACACAGACGUGUGUCUUAGCCGUGUAUGCUACACGGCCUAGAACACGGGCGUGUGUCUUGGCCGUGUGAAACCUGCACUUAAAUUUCGAUUGAAUUAAUUAACCACACGGCCUAGCACACUGGCGUGUGGCAUGACCGUGUGCACAAGUCAGAGAAUUAUUCAGGGUUGAACACGGCCUGUAGCACGGGCGUAUCCUAGGGUCACACGGGCGUGUCUCUUGGACCACACGGGCGUGUGAGCAUUGUAACUUUAAAAUUUUAGAAAUGUCACAAAAAAUUCUUAGAGUUCCCGAUUAAGUCCUGACUCGAUUCUAAUGCUCAUAUUGGGCCUCGAGGGUCCAAUUAAGGUAUGUUUUGAAUGAUCUUGGAUAAUGAAAAGUGAUUUACAUAAAUUAUUUGUAAAAUGUUCUGAAAGUUCUGGUAAUGCUCCGAAACUUUGUUCUGGCAACAAAUAUGGGUUAGAGGUGUUACAUUUAGUGGUAUCAGAGUUACAAUUCAGUCAGUUCUCAGAUUGAACGUAGCGUAUGUGGAGUUUAGAAAUACAUGCCAUUAUAUAACCUGUGAUAGUGUGAUAUCUCCCAUCUCCGAUGAAAAUUAUUUUGCAAAUAGAUAGAGAUGCUUUCCAACCGAGCUAAUUCUGAUACUGCUGAAAGUGAUACACACGUGCCAGAGUAAAAAUGUUGCUUAUGUUAAAAGAGGACUUGUAAAGGUAUGAAAUAAAUGUUUUAAACAUGUUAAUGAUAAAUGUUAAGUGAUUUGUGUGUAUUUAUGAAAGUCAAAUUUUGAUGCUUACGAUCUCUACCCCCUUACCAGUAUAGUGUUAUACAAUGAAAUUCACAAGAUUUAUAUGGAUUAAGCUCGUGAAUGUGGAACUACCGAGUUUAAAAGCUGAAUGAUUAAUGAUGUAGUCAGAAUGAGAAUAGGUUAGUAAGUAAAAACGAUAUUAAAAGAGAUAUCAGAUUUUUCUGAAGAUUAUUUUGAAUAUGUGAUGUCAUUGUUAAGGAAGAAGUGAUUCAUGAGUAACCGACUUAUCCAGAUAUGAUAUUUACAGAACGGAUUAGCCAAAAAUUCUUCCAAAUUGACUCUUUCAGUGAACUGAAUAAUGUAAGAUUAUUGAUGACUUAUUAGUCAGUAGAUUAGUGAUGAAAUUGCAAAGAUAUUUGAAGGCAACUGUUAUAAUUGAGUAUAUUACAGCAACAGCUCCUGGGUACUCUAUAAGUUCUAUUUUUCUAAGAGGCAUAUGAAAUUGUUCAUGUUUAGAUGCAAUAUUUGUCAUAUUGAAAGGCUAGUAAAUCAUGAUAGAUGGAAUUACUGUAAGUCAGGUUGAUUUAUAAGUGGUAUUGCUCUACCUUACGUAGGUUUUCUAAUUCAUCAUGAUUGAUAUAAGAUUUGAGGAUAAGAUUCAUAUGAUAUUAUUUUCUAUUUCUACUGAUUGGACCCCUAAAUUGCGAAUGUGAAAGUUAUAUUGUCUUUAUCAUAGUUGUUUCUACUGAGUAUGCUUGAUAUUACCUUUCUAAAUUUUCUCUGAGAUAUCAUCAACCUUUUUAUUAUGUAAACAUGGGUUACUUGUGAAAGAUAUUCUUUGUUCGGAGGUAAUUAUAUUUAUUACCGUUAUAAAUAUUGACUCGAUCAUAAAGUAUGGUGAUAGAAAUCACAGAUUAUAGAAAUUGUGUUACUGCAUUGGUUAUUAUUGGGGCCACUUUCGAUUUCCCUCUUUUAAGUUGAGGUGCACUAUUGAUGUUGAAGUGUUGUUUUAUCCAUACAGCUGAAAUGUUAAUCAUAUUAAUACACUAUGGUUUUAAAUCUAUCUGAUGGUUGUGGCUUUGGAAAAACUCAAAGCUUCAAUGUUAAUAAUUGAAAAAACUAUAUUGAUGACCCAGUUAUUACAGAAAAAAGGUAAGAUUUGAAUGGACCGAUAAGUAUCAGUAAAGUUUUGACCAGUUAGAAGUUCUAUUGACCAAAGUAUUAAUUCUGGUUCAGCCUGAAUCGGGUAAGGAGUUUGUUAUUACAGAGAUAUAUUAUAGAAUGAGAUUAGAUUAUGUUUUAAUGCAGUAAGGCAAGGUAAUAGCCUGUACUUUUAGAUAGUUAAAAAUCACAUGGAAAUAAUUACUCGAUACAUGAUCUAGAAUUGACUGUUAUUAUUUUUGUAUUGAAAUCUGACAACAUUACUUGUUUGGUGAAAAAUAUCAUAUAUUCACCGAUUAUAAAAGUUUGAAGUAUCUGAUGUUGCUAAAAGAUUUGAAUCUGAGAUAGCAUAUCUGGUUUGAAAUGUUGAAAGAUUAUGAUUUGAUAAUUGAAUAUCACUCGGAAAGAGUGAAUGUGGUUACAGAUAUUCUGAGUAGAAAAUCUCUAUGUACUUUGCAAGCCAUGGAUACCGAUUAUGAUUGUCUGAUAAUAGCUCAAUUUUAGUUGAGUAUAGAGCUAAACCAAUGAUUUUACGACAGAUUAGUAAAACUUAGAAAGGUAAUAAUGAGUUAUAAGUUAAAUAAAUACAGUGUGAAAUAAUUUCUGAUUCAGAAUUUCAAAAUAGAUCUAAUAAAUGUCUGUUAUUCAAAGACAGAGUCUGUGUACUAAAGAAUUGGAGUUUAUAAAGAAAAUUUUACAUGAAUGAUCAUAAUGAUACUAUGUCUGUUUAUCUGGGGAAUGAUAAAAUGUAUAAUGAUUUGAAAAAAAAGAUGUAUUAGUAGCUCGAAAUGAAAUGUGGUAUUUCUGAAUCUGUGUUUAAUGUUGGAUGUAUCAUCAAGAUAAGGAUGAAACUUUCAGGAUGAUUAUAGCCAGCGAAGAUACCAAAAUGGAAAUGAGACGAAGUUACUGUGAACUUUAUAUCGGGAUUAUCCUUGUCUAUGAAAAAGAAAGAUACUAUUUGAGUAAUCGUCGAUUUUUUGACAAAGCCUGCAUAUUCCAUCAUGGUAUGAGUGGAUUUCCCACUUGAUAGAUUGCUUAAAUGAUCUAUUUUUGAGAUUGUCAGAUUAUAUGAUGUGCUAGCUUCUGUUAUUUCUGAUAGAGAUCUACAGUUCAUAUUCCGCUUCUGAAACAAGUUACAAGAAACUCUGGGUAUACGGUAACAUUUUAGCACCGUGUUUCAUUUUCAGACGGAUAAUCAAUCUGAACAUAUGAUUCAGAUCUUUGAAGAAAUGCUUCAAUGUUUUGUAAUUGAAUUUGAAGGUAAUUGAGAAAAGUAUUUUCCUUGGGUUGAAUUUGCUUAUUAUAACAGUUAACAGUCAAGUACAAAAUUAUACUGUACGAGGCUUUAUAUGGUCAUACAUGUAAAACUCUGAUGUUUUGGGACAAAGUUCAAUGAGAAAAGAUACAUGUAGUAGGUUUGAUUCUUUGAAACUGAAGAAAGAUGAAGUGAUCUGAGACAGUUUAAAAGUAGCAUUUGAUCGUUAGAAAUCCGAUGUGAAUCUGAAAUGAAAAGAAAUAGAGUUUCAGAUUGACUACAAAAUAUUUUUGAAAGUUUCACCAUGGAAGAAAGUUCUCCGGUUUGGCAGUAAAGGAAAAUUAAUUCUGUGGUUUAAUGGGUCAUAUGAGAUCAUUGAAAAGAAUUAGACCUGUUGCGUAUUGAUUGGUAUUAUUAUUAGAAUUCUACAGAAUUCACAAUUUUUUAUGUGUAUAUGUGUUAUGACAAUAUCGAUCAGACCUGUCAUUUUUUAUUUCUCUAGUAGAGAUUGAAAUUCAGUUUGGCAUGACUUACAGUGAGUGACUAGUCGAAAUUUUGGCAUGUGAAUGAAAGAAACGAAAAAUAAAAAGGUAGCUUUAGUAAAAUUUUCUGACAAUGACAUGAUAUAGAGGGAGCUACUAGGAACCGGAGGAAACUAUGAGAAAGUAAUCUCUGAAUCCCUUUAUUGGUAAAAUUUUCGAGGACAAAAAUUCUUUAAGGGGGGAGAGUUGUAACAGCUCAAUUUCGGUGAAAUCAAAACAGUGGUUCGGGACCACAAAUCUGAGCCGAAAAUAAAAUUUAUUUUUAUUUUAUUAUAUGGUCCGUAUUAUGUUAUAAAUGUCAUGUGAAAAUUUUGAAAAGAAAAUUUUAUUGAUUAUGUGCUUAAUUACGAAAAGGACCAAAUAGUAUAAAAUACAAAAGUUGAAUUCUAGUAGCUAUAAGGAUUCAAUAGCUGUAACACCCUUCGCCCGUAUCCCUUGCCGGAACAGGGUUCGAGGUGCUACCAGAUUUAAUCUCAACCCUUUAUAUAAAACCAGGCUGCAAAAAAAUUUUGAUCAAUUUUAAACUUUUCAUACACGCGUAUUUUAUCCAUUAAUCGGGCUUACGAGGCCCCAAAACAUUCAUGAGGCAUUAUUAAAUAAUUACCAAUAUCUUAGUCUUGUAUCAUUUACUUACUCAACAAUGAAUCCCAAUUCAAAUUCUAAAUAUACAUGCUAUAAAUCACAUCACAGGAGAUAAUAACAUACAAGCAUAUGAAUAGUCAAACUACCUUAGUAACAAGCCAAAGUCUUUGGCUUAAUCAUAAUAUUACAUAUUCAAUUUUACAACCCUAUACAUGCCAUAGACUCGAAACACUAAGAUUUACUUACGCCGAUAGCGUAAACUCGAUAAUGUGAUAAUAUCUUUGGCAGCCUCCAACUCGAGCUAACCUGGAAACCCUAGGGAAUAUGGGAAAGAAGAGAGGAGUAAGCUUUACGCUUAGUAAGUUCAUAAGAAAUCAAUGAACAACUCAUUAACAAGUUUUAUCAAUGUUUACAACAUAAUCACAAAUUCACUACAAGUUGUCUUCCUGUGCAACAGUCACUAAAUUAUUUAUAACUGGAGCUACGAAAUUCCAAAUCAAUUUCUGUUAAUUUUUCCCUGAAAAUAGACUCAUAUAUAUUCUAUACAUAAAAUUUUCAGAAUUUUUGGUUUGGUCAAUCAAUACCAUAUUUUUCUUAAAGUUUCUCCUAUUUCACUGUUUUACUAUUCUGACCAUUCUUAACUUUGAAUCAGAUUUCUCAUUGUACAAAUUCAAAACAUGUUCUCAUUUAUUUCAUUUGAAACUAGACUCAUUAAGGAGUCUAACCAUAUAAAUUUUAUUUUAUAACCAUCAUUGUACAAUUUACAAUGAUUUUCUAAAAACAGAACAGGAGACCUCGAAGUCAUUUUGACUCUAUCCCACGCCACUUCAAAUAUCUCAUUAUCGGCAAUUCUUUUGCUUACAAAGUUUCUUUUAUAAGAAACUAGACUCAUUAAGCUUUCAUUACAUAAUUUAUUCAGCCUCUAACUCAACUCCCACUAUUUAUGGUGAUUUCCAAAAAUCAUGUUACUGCUGCUGUCCUAAGCAGAUUUAUUACAAUCUACUCUUUCACACAUUCUUUGCUUUCAUAUUAUUUAAACAUGUAUAUCAUGUCAUUCAAGAUUGAACUUAUAUAACAUAGGCAUUUAAAAUGCUUCACUAUCAACUUUAAUUCAAUCAAAAUGAACAAAAUACAAUAUCAUAUCCACAUUUAAUUUUCCAUGAUCAUAAUCACAUAUAACAAUCAUAUACUUCCACAUAACUUCACAAAUUUACCGAAUGUAUCACGAUCACAUUUAUAGUUGUAACACUUAUUCACAUAUGCAUCACUUUGUACACUUAUAAUUCAGUCCAAAUCAAAAUCGCAUACGAUUACAUAAUACGUACCUGGCCCUCAUAAUGUAACAUACAUAAUCAGUAGUAGUUUACCUCGAACAUUCAAAUUCAUAAUCUUAUUCGAAUCAUCGGCGUUAAGCCUGCUAGGUUUAAACCCCGAAUUCAAUCACCAACACAAAGCCUACGGGACUUUAAGCCCGGAUAUAGUACCAGUACGAAGCCUACGGACCUUAAGUCCGAAUAUAGUACCAGCACGAAGCCUGCGGAUCUUAAGUCCGGAUAAAUUCCAGCACAAAGCCUGCGGGUCUUUAAGCCCGGAUACAAUUUCAGCACGAAGCCUGUGGGUCUUUAAGCCCGGAUAUAAUUCCAGCACAAAGCCUGCGGGUCUUUAAGCCCGGAUACAAUUCCAGCAUAUAGCCUGCGGGUCUUUAAGCCCGGAUAUACAUCAAAUAUCAUGCAUAUUUAAUCAUCUAUUAACACACCUCAUUCAACAUAUCACAUUAGUAGUCAUUUGCUACAUUCGGAUAUAAGCUCCAUAUGAACACCAUCAUUUACAUUUCGGUUCAAAAGUCAUACAUAAAUAUCACAUAUCCAUUUCACCAUUCAAGUUUAACCCAUAGUGACCAUUCGACUAUAAGUCAUAUACAUAAAUUAUUUAUCACACAACUUAAUUCAAGUAGAACCAAAAAGUCACAAUUCAUCUAAUAUACACAUAUCAAGGCAUCAUCAAUUAUAUACUAAAGGUGACUACUCAAAACUUACAUCGGAUAUAUUUGAACGGUUGCGGAAAGGCUACUCUAUUACUUUCUCUUUUCCCUUAUCUGAUUUUGAUCCUCUUUGCUCUUGAGCUUAAUUAAAACAAAUAGAUUUGUUUAAUUACUUACUCAACUUUAUUUCUUAAUAGUCACAUUUGGCAAUCAUAUAUAACUUCAAUAUGUAUUAUAUUUUAUAAAAUAUGCCAUGACUCAAUUUCAUGCUUAUUUAAUCUAUAACUAAUUCGCAUACACAAGCAAAGAUUCACAUAACUUAUCAUGCUUCCUUAUAUAUGAAUUUAACCAUAUUCCCGAAUGUCUCUAUAAGCACAAGGUACAUACAUAAGGCAUAUAUAUAUACCUAUAUAUGACUCUCACAAUUUAAUCAUUUACUCAUAUUUAUGCACAACCGUGUAUACACAUGCAUAUAUAUAAUGCAUGCUUUAAUAUCAUAUACUUUUAUUUAUUUUUCAAAUUACACUAUAGCUCCAAGACAUAUAGCUAACUCCGAAUGUCAACUUAUUAAACAUUUACCACAUUACCAAUUGCCAUAUAUCAUCAAUGCCGCACACACAAAUACAUACAUACUCAUAUGCAUAAAAUCCGUUUAUGUUUAAUCUAUAACCCAUUCGGCCUUAACUACUCAAACUUAGCCUUCAUAUUUAAUUCCAUUUUAUGACCGAAUGUAACAAAUUCAUAUAGGUUUCACCUAUGCCAAACAAUGACCGAACCAUUUAAUCAUGCUUAUGGUCGAUUAUCAUAUUAACACGAGACACACAAACAUCAAUAUCCAAGUAUGCUAAUAUAUCACACCAUCAACUAAAUCAUACAUAUAGAUACAUAAAAUUCAUUUGACCUAUUAUACUUUCAUGUGCACAUUUUUAACCAUAUAGCCAACACCUUAAUAAACAAUUUAAAUACAUAUCACCUACCAAUUCACAUCUCUAAAAUCCCCAAUACAAUCAUUUUUUUAUCAUAGCCGAAUGCCACAAAACAAGGCAUCCAAAAUCUCAAAUCACUUUAUAUAAUCCAUUCGGCCAUUUCAAAUUAGAUACACAAAAUUUUAUUUUUAUUUUUCAAAAACUAUCAAACCUGAAUCAAUAUAACAUUCAACUCCAUAUUAAUCCACCCUUAGUACAUUCGGCCAUAACAUAGGCACAUAUACAUUUAACUUAAUUUCUUCAUGAAAAAUAAAGGCUAUAACCGAAUAGUCUUUAACCAUUUAAAAUUACAAAGCACAAAUUAUAAUUUCAACCGAAUGGAGUACUUUUAUUAAUUCAAAACAAAACAUCAAAGUAUCAUUUCUAAAUGAAAAAUCCUCUCAUGACCGAUUGCUCCCAUAGCUACCAAAAUGAAAAUUUGCACAUGGGUUAUGGAGGAACUAAGAAACUAUCCUAAAAUACACAAGUAAUUUCUUUCAAACACUUCAAACAUACCUCAAUCUAGUUACAAGCAUGGCCGACUUCUUAGAAACUUUCCCUUUUCUCUUUUACUUGUUUCUUUUCGGCUAAGGAAGAACAAAGAUGAACAAACUCUCUUCUUUUCACCCCUUUUUUGUUUUAUUACUCCUUAUUUCAUAUUAUAAAACAUUUAAUAAUUAUAUUUCUUCUUUCUUUCUCAAACAUUUGGCAAGAACAAGGCAAGGAUGUAUGACUUACUUUUUUUUUAUUUAAAACAUUAACUAUUAUAAUAUAAUAUAUAACGCAUAUAUGGCUAUUCAACCAUUAUCAUGGCCGGCCACUUACUUAAAAAUGGGGAAUUUGACAUGCAAAUCCCCAUAUUUUAAGCCAUGCAAUAUUUGACCAUUACACUUCAACCUAUCACAAUUUUAAUAUUUUUCACAUAAGUCCUUUUUAAUUAAUUUCACAUUUAAAUGACAAAAAUCAAAGCAUAAAAUUUUCACACAUACACUUUCACUUAUAAUAGGCAUAGAAUAUAACAUUUAAUUAUUUUUGUGACUCAAUUUUGUGGUCUCGAAACUACUUCUCGACUAGGGUCAAAUUAGGGUUGUCACAAUAGCUAUGGAAUUCAAAACUUGAGAUGUAACGACCCAAAUCCAGUGGUGUCGGAACAGUAAUUCGAGAUCACUAAAUCAGACAAAUGAGUAGAAAAUAUUAUUAAUUUAAUGAAAAUAAGUUAGAUGUGAAGUUAGGAAAAUGAGUAAAAUAGUGAAUAGUAUUUUAUAAUAAAUACUAAAUAAUUUGGAAGUGAAAACGAGGUAUCAAGACCUCGAAAUAUUAACCCGAGCCAUAAAUAUUUUUAUAAAUAUUUAUGGAGUGUUAGUAAGUUAGUAUUAAAGUUUCAUCAAGAAAUUUUAAAGUUUCGAUAGUCAAUUAGGUAAAAAAGGACUAAAUUGAAUUAAGUGUAAAAUUAUGAAAUGUGAUUAAAUGAGGACUAAAUAGGCAAUUAAACACCUAUUAUUGGGCUGGACGGCAUGUGUGUACAGGAAAUAUUGAAAUUAGGUGUGAACAAGGGGUAAAAUUGGAAAAGAAGUAAAAAUUAAAUAGUUUAAAAAAUAGGAUGUGAUUGGAAAUCUAGAGAUUUUUUCAAUUUUCUUCAUUCGAUUCAGUUAAAAAUAGCCAUUGAAGAAACUUAGAGCUAGUUUUUCAUAUUUUUACUGCAAGUAAGUUCAAAUCUUGAUUAUUUCUUGAAAUUUGUGUUUUUGAGACUUUUACAACUAGGUCCUAUCAUCUAAUUCAUUAGUUUUGAUUUCAUGGUUUAUUUUGAAAGUUUCCAUGAAUAACUACUGGAAGUUUAUGAUGAUUUAGCAUGGAAUUAAAGCUUUAAUUUGUUUAUAUGCUGAUUUUAUUGAAAGAAUUAUAUAGAAAGUGAACAUUUGAAGACCUAAUUGUAAAAGAGCUUGAUAUUAGGGUUUAAUGUGGAAAUUCUAAAUUUCAAUGGUGGUGAAGUAAUUUAAAAUGUUUAAGGAAAGUGUUAAUUGAGAAGAAAAGGUUCUAUUGAUGAGUUAAUUGGUCAGGGACCAAAUUGGGAAAAUUGUGAAAUUUAGGGUAAAAGUGUAAUUUUAGGAAUUAAAGGGUAUAAAUUAAAGUGUAAUUUUUCGAAAUUUUACAACUAUUGUGAAUUAGACCAGGUAAGUUCAUGUGGCUAAAUUUUAGUGAUCAUUGUUAUUCUUAUGAAUUUUAUAAUGACUUAUACUAUAUGAUUAUAAUAAAACCAUGAAUAAUGUAAAAAUAUGAAAUUGAAGAAAUGAUCAAAUUGAAUGAAACAUUGGAUUGAGUACUUCUGUCUAGUGACAAACAAUGAAUUGACGGAAAAAACCAUGGUUGGACCAUGGCAACAAGUGAUAAGUGAUAUCCGUAUAAGACCAUAGCUGGGCUAUGACAUUGGAGAAAAGUGAUAAGUGGUCCCGUGUAAGACCAUAUCCCGGAUAUGGCAUCGGUAUACUAUAUGACUCAUGUAAGACCAUGGCUGGGCCAUGGCUUCGGAAAGUGAAACGUGAUCAUGUGCAAGUCCAUAGUUUUACUAUGGAAAAGUGAAGAUAAAAUACUCAAUUCCGUAUAGUUUCUUAAUUUGAAAAGAGAUGGUAAGUGAUAAAUGGGCCAAAAGAAUGAAGUUUAAGUGUGAAUAAUAUUAAGUGAAAUUGACUUGGCUUGUGAAUGACAGGAGAAAUUAGUGAAUUGGAUAAUAUAUGAAUGCUUUACCAUAUUUGGUAAGUUUAUGUUCUAAGCCUAUAACUUACUAAACUUUCACAAGCUUACUUGAAUGUGAUUAUCAUGUCCUGUAGAUUAACGUGGAGUCGGAGGAUCGGAUCAUCACCAAGAAUCACACUAUCCAGACGUUCUCCGGUAGUUUUUGGGUUAUUAUCUUUUGAUUUAUAUGGCAUGUAUAAGUGUUUGGUUGGAUAAAGUUAUAGAUGGUUAAAGUAUGUAAAAGGAAUGGCAUCUAUGUAUAAAACUUAGUUUAAUGGUUAAGUAGUAGUGUGUUAAUAUAAAAUGCAUAUUACGAGCAUAAAUUGGUUGAUUGGUUGGUUGUAAUUUGUAUAAAAAUUAAGUUUAAGUGAAGGUAACAGAUGAAAGGGUGAGAAAAGUGGCCUAAAACGGCCUAUUUUCAUUCAUAUGGAUAGACACACGGGGGUGUGUAACACACGGUAAGCCCACGGGCGUGUAAAAUAACCAUGUGUCCCCUGCAUCCUUAAAUGUGAAGUUAGGACAGUACAGGGGCAAAAAACACGGUCGUGUGUCUUGGUCGUGUGAAGGACACGGGUUUCAAGCAUGGUCACAUGUUAAAAUUGUGUGAAAAUAGCUUAAAAAUGGUUAAAAAUCAGUUUACCACAAGACCUAGCCACAUGGACGUGUGCCCAGGCAGUGUGCCCCUUUGAUGCUUAAGAAAUUGCAAGUCAGAAUUGCCCACGGGCUGGCCACACGGGCAUGUGCCCCUAACUUCAAGAAUUUUUUUUUAAAGUUUUCCAAAGUUACCAGUUUAGUUCCAAAUCACUUCUAAAGCGUGUAUUGGGCCCCGUAGGCCCAUAUUAGAGACUUUAUGGUGAAAUUUAAAAAGUUUUGAUUUGGAAUGCAAAUUUAUGACUCGGUUUUGUACAAAUGCUAAUGUAUAAGUUCAGUAAUGCCUUGUAACCCUAUUCUGGUGACAGAUACGGGUUAAGGGUGUUACAUUUAAUGGUAUCAGAGUUUAGUUUUGCCGAUUCUCGGAAUGUUCGUGUUGUGUAAAGUGAUUAGAAAUACAUGCAAUAUAAAUCUGUGAUAGCGUGAUGUGUACAAUUCGAUCUAACUCCUGUUAUUUUUAUAGAUAACUCCUGAUUAUAAAAAUGUUAGGUAGACCAGAACGUACAGAAUAAGAAGAAGAAGUAAAUAGUAGAGUACAGACUUCUGAACAGGGGACCAGUAGUGAAGUUUCGAUUUCUUUGAUGAGGGAACGGGAACUUAAAGUUUAUGGAAUUAUGAAUCAAUGGUACAAUGAAACAAUGCAAGAAAGAAACUCGGCUCAACAACCCUUCCUCUUACUGCACCAUCCGUAGUGCCCCUGGUUGCCCCUCUACCUCCUCCGACAACUGAAUCUAGUAAACGUACUCCAUUAGAAAAGCUCAGAAAACUUAGAGCUAAAGAAUUCUGGGGAAGAUCUGAUGAUGAUCCGGUUAAAGUAGAAUAUUGGUUACAGAGUUUGAUGAGAAUUUUUAUAGAAAUGGCAUGUUCGCCAGAUGAUUAUUUGAGAUGUGCUGUGUCGUUAUUAAAAUAAGAAGCGUAUAAUUGGUGGGAAACAAUCGAAACAGUGGUGCCGGUAGAGAAAAUCACGUGGGAAUUCUUUCAAAAUGAGUUCAAAAAGAAACAUGUGGGCAAAUAGUAUCUGGAUAAGAAAAAGAGAGAAUUUCCGGAUCUACGACAGGGAAGUAAAUCAGUAGCUGAAUAUGAAAGAGAAUUUGUUUGCCUUAGUAAAUAUGCCCGGGAUAUUGUGCCUACAGAGGAGGAAAUGUGUAUCUGAUUUGAAGAAGGGUUGAAUGAUGAUAUUAGAAUGAUGAUAGGAGGUAAUGAAAUACGAGAGUUUGUUGUUUUAUCAGAUCGUGCUCAGAAACUUGAGGAAGUGUAUAAUCGAAAGAUGCAAUGAGAUAAAAAGAGCAAAGAAUCAUUUAAAAGAGGUGCAUCCAAGUCAUUUUCGACUUUGCCGGUGAAGAAAUCCAGAGAAGAAUUUAGCUGGGCCACUUUAGUGCCGGAAAAAUCGGGAAAGAGCAAAUCAAGACAAUCUAAUUCUAGGACAUUUGAUAGACAUGCAGCUAGUAUGAGCAGUGUUCAAAAUGCCCCUCAACCUAAGUGUUAGUAUUGUGGAAGAAAUCACCUUGGUGAGUGCCGGAGCAAGACAGGAGCUUGUUAUAGGUGUGGAUCUACUGAUCAUUUCAUUUGAGAUUGUCCCUGACUACAAAGAGAUGAAGUAGAGUAGAAACAGAAACAGAAAGUUACUCCUCAACAAAGUAAACGUUCAGGGAAGAGUAGUGCUAUAGGGGCUACCCGUUCGGGUAUGAGAGAAUCAGCUAGUCGAUCAGAUGUUAGAACAUCUGCAUGUGCCUACGCUAUUCGAGCGAGAGAAGAGGCGACAGCUCCGGUCGUAAUUGCUAGUAAUUUCUAUCUUUAUGAUGAUACUGUGUAUGCAUUGGUAGACCUUGGGUCUACACAUUCAUUUAUUUGCACCAUGUUAGCAUCUGAAAAGAAUUUAUCUGUUGAGCCUACUGAUUUCGAUGUUCAAGUUACUAAUCCCUUAGGCCAAUGGGUGAUAGUUAAUUUAAUAUGUCGCAAUUGUCCACUGAGAAUAAAGUGCUGUGAGUUCCCCGGUAAUUUGAUAUUGCUACCCUUUCGGAAAUUUGAUAUUAUUUUGGGAAUGGAUUGGUUAAUGAAGCAUGAUGCAAUAGUGAACUGUCAUGAAAAACAGAUCAGUUUGAAAUGCCAAACAGGGGAUAUGAUUUCAGUUGGGUUUGAAAAUUUCGGUGAUACUGUUAGUAUUAUUUCAGCCUUCUCUGCUUAGAGAUUUUUACAUAAAGGAAACGAGGCAUUCUUGGCCUAUUUUCUUGAUACUCGGGGUACCAAUUCAAAUUUAGAACAGAUUUCGGUAGUUAAUGAAUUCCCUGAUGUGUUCCCUGAGGAGUUGCCAGGUUUACCACCUGAUAGGGAAGUAGAAUUUGUGAUAGAUGUGAUUCCGGAAAUAGCUCUCAUUUUAGUGACACCGUAUAGAAUGGCCCCAGCUAAAUUAAAAGAGCUGAAGACACAGUUACAAGAGUUGUUCGAUAAAGGAUUCAUCAGGCCGAGAAUGUCGCAUUGGGGAGCACCUGUUUAUUUUGUGAAGAAGAAAGAUGGUUCUUUGAGGUUAUGUAUUGAUUACAGGCAGUUGAAUAAAGUAACGGUAAUGAAUAAGUAUCCCUUGCCUCGUAUUGAUGGUUUAUUUGAUCAGUUGAUAUGUGCAGUAGUAUUUUCAAAGAUAGACCUUCGAUUCGAGUAUUAUCAAUUGAAAGUAAAAAAGACUUCUUUUAUGAACCCGGUACGAACAUUAUGAAUUUUAAUGCCAUUUUGAUUAACCAAUGCCCCUGCUGCAUUUAUGAACUUAAUGAAUCGGAUCUUCCAACCCUAUUUGGAUAGAUUCGUGGUUGUGUUUAUUGAUGAUAUAUUGAUUUAUUCAAAGACGGAAUCUGAGCAUGAUCAGCAUUUGAGAAUAGUGUUACAAACUUUGCGGGAGAAACAGUUAUAUACAAAGUUUAGUAAAUGUGAGUUCUGGCUUCAGGAGGUUGCAGUUUUGGGUCAUAUUGUGUCAGCUGGUGGAAUUCGUGUUGAUUUGAGUAAAGUAGCGGCAGUGGUGAAUUGGGAAGUUCUAAAGAAUGUCACUAAAGUACAAAGUUUCUUGGGAUUAGCAUGAUAUUAUCGCCGAUUUAUCAGAGAUUUUUCAAUGAUUAUUUUACUAUUGACCCGGUUGUUACAAAAAAAUACUGAAUUUGAAUGAUCAUAUAAAUGUCAGCAAAGUUCUGAUCAGUUAAAAAAGAUGUUAACAGAAGCACCAGUGUUGACUAAACUGGAAUCUGGUGUGCCGUUUGUGGUAUACAACUGUAACGCCCCAAAAAUUAGGCCUAGAAGUAUCGGGUUUGGAGUCAGAGUUUAGGUAGAAGAUGGCCCGAGAUAGAAUUAUUGAUGUUUUAACUUUUUACGGGAAUUAUUAUCAAUAUUGUUAAUAAUUAUUUAGUGUAGGAUCUAAGUGAAUUACGAUGGAUUUAUUGUGUGGGAAAAGGCUUGGGUUCGAUUCAAGACUCUAGCAAAAAAAAUUUUAAAUUUUAUGCUACCUUAGGGCAUCUGGACAGUAGGCCUUAUUAAUAAUUUGGGCUGAGUUUUAGCACAAAACAAGCACCUGGCCCAGUGGCUAAGCACGCUAGGAGGGCGUGGGAUGUGCCUGGGUUCGAGGCACGACGCGCGUAACGUUUUUUUUUUAGUAAUCAGGUGGCGUAAAGAUAGGCCUUAAAAGAAGUUGUGAAUGAAGUUUGACACAAAGAGCGCCCUUGCAGCAGUGGCAGCCGCGGGCUAAGGAAACCCAAUGGUCGCGAGUUCGAAUGCAGGGGACAACGAAACUUGUUUUAUUUUUUAAGUAGUCCGUGACUGAAGCGAAUAAGGCUUAUAAAAAGAGAGGUUGUGUCGCAGUGGCAAGUAGUGUAGUUGGGCUUUCUGGAGGUCGCAGGUUUAAGUGUCGGGGAAGGCGAAUUUCUCCUUUAUUUUUAAGCGAACUGGUGUUUCAGCAGGUAAGGCUUAUAAUUAAUUGUGACCCUAUAUUAGUAAAGAAAGAAGCAUGGUGCAGUGACUAGCAACACGGGCGAAGGCGCAAGGGCGGACAUAGGUCUGGGGUUCGAGCCUCACCUCGCGCACGGAUGGUUGGGUUUUUGCUGCACGCGUGGGGAAGGAGUUGGGGUCUGAUCAGGACUCUCUUGGCAACGUGCUGAAGCGGUGCAAGGAGUGGAUAAGGAUGCUGCUAAUCGAUGGAAGGAGUUUAAGUGAAAUUCAAACUUUUCUACGGGCUAAAUUCAAGGGAUUUGAAUUAGAGGGAGUAGUGUAUCAAAAGUAGGACUUUGGAGUUGCAUAUUCGGCUAGGACAGGUUGGUGUAGUAAAUUAGCAUUUUUAGUUUGUAGGGGGGUACCUAUUGUUUAGUUGUCGAAUAGGUGUAGGUUCUUUAGGGGCUGAAUUCUGUUGGUUGCUUUCAUUCUUGUUUUUUGCCAUUUUACCUAAAGCCGAAUUCUUUCUUCUUUUCUUUUUCUCAUCUCUUCCUUCCUUGAUUUCCUUCAAAGCCGAAUCUCUACUGUUAUCUCCUCUCUUCUAUUUUCUUUUCUCUUCCUCUUCUCUUCAUCCAUAUCUCUCACAUCUUGUUAGCCGAAUUUCUUUGUGGCCGAAUCCUCUAUUCUUUCCUUAGAAGCCGAAACCUUCAUAAGUCAUAGUGAUUCGGGAAUUAAUAUCUAGUUCUUUUCUCUAUUCGCAUUUUAAGAUUGGAUUCACUAUGGAUCUGAGAUUAGGGAAGUGUUGGAAACGCUCUUGACAAGUACAUCGUUGGUGCUAAGUACUCAGAAUCUUAUUUCCAUUCUUUAUUUCGGGAUUUAAAGAAGAGCCAAAAACCCCUAUAUGCAAAGGGUGCCUGUCGACUAAACUAAAAGGGUUUAGUGGUAUUAUUUGAUUUGUUUUGCUCUAGCAUGGAUUAAAGGCUACUGAUUAAGGGCUUGAAUAAUUGGAACGACUAGAUUUAGAUCUAGUCCAUAUUCCGGAAAAGGUAAGAACUUUAGUGCCUAAGGUGUUAAUGGCCGAUUAUUGGUAAGGGGAUUUGUAUAUAAGUUGUUAUGGAUUCAUAGUUUAAUGUGUUAGUAACUAAUUGUAGGCAAUUUCUGUGUGGAACUCGUCAACGUUUCGUCAACAAAUAGGUGUGUAAACGACACCCACUAGUAGACUAGAUCGGCAAAAACUGAAAAGUUGAAAUACCGAAAAGCCGGCAUUUCGAUAACUUGAGAGCGUGCAAGCGCUCGUGGGAUUGUUUGUAUUGAUGAUUUUGGUAAGUUCAAUGGUAAGAUUGCAAAGUACGCAAUUUCGUGCACCUCGGUGAAUUUGGGCUUCGAUGGGUCAAAAUUGGGUAAUGGGCAACAGGCCCAUUUCGGUAAAAACAUCCGGUAAGUAUUCUGAAGACACGUUAAUAAUUGUAAUGAGCAUGAAACCCUAAAAAGAUUGAUAAAAUUGCUGAAAUACCUCUGUAAGGUAGAAUUACCGUAAUACCCCUAAAGGGGUAAGUUUACAAUUACGCCCCUCGAGGGUAAAUAACUGUUCUUACGCUAUAAUCUGACUGUCUUUUUGAAGCAUGCCUUUUUAAUUAUAUAAAUUCUGCAUACAUGUCAUAUUGCAUGGGGUUGGGUUUUGUUAUGGAGGAAGAACCCGUUCUGGUGGCUGUGCCACAUAUUCUAAUAUAAGCAGCUUUGCUGCAGAUUAUAGUUAGUGUCGCAACUGGUGCUAACACUGUAAGUGUAAGGAUGGCGUGGGUGAUUUAUUCCCCACAGGAAGUGUAGGGAUGGACGGAGGCAAGUGCAGGGUUGGAUGGGGUUAUCAUGCAUUAAUCAUAUGAGACUGUUUUGUUCUAGGCCAACUGUAUUGAAAUGGGCCCAACUGUGUUAAUAUGGGCAAGGCCCAAUAGAUCUCGACUUGUAAUAGGGCUACGGCCCAGAUUGAUACUGAUAUGGGCUAGGCCCAGUAUACUCUGAAACUGUAAGGGGCUAUGGCCCAGAUUAAUAUUGAUAUGGGCUAAGGCCCGGUUAACUCUGAUUUCUGAAUAGGGCUUAGGUCUAGUAAAGCUUGAACUGAUUUAGGCUCUAGUUGGGUUUACUUUACACACUGAGUUUUCCAAACUCACCCCUUCCUUUUUACCCUUGCAGGUGAGCCUUAAACUAGGGACUUGGAGCUGGUAGGAUUCAGGGUGGCCAGGUGGACAGUGCAGAUGGUUUUUAAUUAAAUUAGUAGUUCUUUAAGUUAUUUUUCAGUUAUCUUUCGGGUUGUAACAAGGCCGCUUUAAUUAUUUUUUGUAUGUUUUGUUAGCUUAGAUAUGAUAUUGUUUUAAUUGUUUGAAAUUGAAUAGCUCUAGGGCGCGUUUUAAAAGGGUUACUUGAUUUCAAAAUAUCGUGAAAACAAAGCAAAGCUUCCGCAACGAAAAUGUUUUCAAAAUUAAUAACCUUUUCAAAUGGUUUUAAACGAAUUGGUUUUCCAUGAACAAUCACUCAGUUAAAGUGUGGCAAUGGUUGUGUGCAUGUCUAGGAUUGGAUCCGUGGAGAGCUGGGUACUUAAGCAGUCUAAUUAACGUACCUCAUCUUUUCUGCCAUCCUACCUGGUGCACAGCUUCCAUUCACUUUAAUCUAUAACGAAGAUAUUCUUUAAACACUAAGAAAGACUUUAGAUAAAACAUGACUUUUCUAGUAACGCUUUAAUGUGACACGCCGGAUUCGGUCGUAACGUCUGGGCUGGGUUUGGGGUGUUACAACAGUGAUGCAUCUCUAAAUGGUUUGGGUUGUGUUUUGAUGCAGUCGGGUAAAGUAGUAGUAUAUGCUUCUCGACAACUAAAAUCGUACGAGAAGAAUUAUCCUACACAUGAUUUAGAAUUAGCUGUAAUCGUGUUUGCUUUAAAAAUAUAGAGACACUAUUUAUAUAGUGAGAAGUGUCAUGUGUAUACUGAUCACAAGAGCUUAAAAUAUCUGAUGACACAAAAGGAGUUGAAUUUGAGAUAGAGGCGGUGGUUAGAACUUUUGAAAGAUUACGAUCUUGUUAUUGAUUAUCAUCCGGGGAAAGCUAAUGUUGUAGCAGAUGCACAUAGCCAAAAAUCGUCAUUGUUUGCUCCCCGAGCAUUAAAUGCUCAAUUGUCUGUUAAUGAAGAUGGUUCUGUGUUAGCAGAAUUGAAAGCAAAACCUAUAUUCUUUUAACAAAUUCGAGAGUUGCAAGAUGAAGACCCAAAAUUAGUGUUGAAACGACAAAUGGUCUUGGAUAAGUUGAGCUUGGAGUAUUCCAUGGAUGACAGUGGUAUGUUAUGCUAUUGAAAUAGAAUUUUUGUUCUAAAUAAUCCAAAUUUGAAGAAUGAUAUUUUAUUAGAAGCUCAUAGUAAUAUAUGUUCUAUUCACCUAGGUAGUACGGAAAUGUAUUGCGAUUUGAAGAAAAUGUAUUGGUGGUCUGGUAUGAAGCGGGAACUUUUUGAAUAUGUAGCAAAAUGUCUGAUCUGUCAACAGGUGAAAGCUGAACAUCAGGUACUGACCAGUUUAUUGCAGCCCAUUAUGAUUCCGAAAUGGAAAUGGGAACAUGUCACGAUGGAUUUUGUGUUCGGGUUACCGGCAACACCGAAAAAGAAAGAUUCAAUAUGGGUGAUUGUUUAUCGGUUAACUAAAUCGGCACAUUUUAUUCCAAUCAGGGCAAAUUAUCCUCUUGAAAAGUUGGCGAAAAUAUAUGUUUCAAAGAUAGUGAGAUUACAUGGAGUGCCGAUAUCUAUUAUUUCUGAUCAAGAUUCGAGGUUUACCUCAAGACUUUGGGGUAAAUUACAAGAAGAUUUGGCCACCAAGUUAAACUUCAGCACAGCUUUUCAUCCCCAGACAGACGGGCAAUCAGAGCGGGUAAUUUAGAUAUUAGAAGAUAUGUUGAGGUGUUAUGUACUUGAAUUUUGCGGCAACUGGGAAAGGUAUUUACCUUUAGUUGAAUUUGCUUACAGUAAUAGUUAUCAUACUAGUAUCAAAAUGGCCCUGUUUGAAGCUUUAUAUAGAAGGAAAUGUAAAACUCCAUUGUAUUGGACUGAAUUAAGUGAAUCAAAGUUAGUGGGAGUAGAUUUGAUUCGAGAAACAAAAGAAAAAGUUCGUAUUAUACGAGACAGAUUAAAAGCUGCUUUCGAUCGUCAGAAGUCAUUUGCAGAUUUAAAAAGAAGAAAUAUAGAGUUUAAUGUGGGCGAUCGAGUAUUUUUGAAAGUGUCAUCGUGGAAAAAAGUUUUACGGUUCGUCAAAAAGGGAAAACUGAGUCCACGAUUUAUUGGGCCAUACGAAAUCACUGAAAAAAUCGGUCCGAUAGCAUACAGAUUGGCUUUACCUCUGGAACUUGAAAAGAUUCAUGUGUCUAUGCUAAGACGGUACAGAUCAGAUCCAUCACAUGUAAUUCCUCAUACGGAUAUAGAGCUUCAACCGGAUAUGACUUAUUCGGAGGAACCAAUGAAAAUUUUAGUACGGGAGAUUAAAGAAUUAAGAAAUAAACGGGUACCGUUAGUUAAAGUAUUGUGGAAUCGUCAUGGGUAGGAGGAGGCAACAUGGGAAAUGGAAGAAUUAAUAAGAUCUCAAUAUCCACACAUAUUUCCAGGUAUGAAAUUUUGAGGACGAAAGUUUCCAAAAUGGGGGAGAGUUGUAAUGACCCAAAUUUCAGUAGUGUCGGAACAGUAAUUCGAGAUCACUAACCGAAAAAUGAGUAGAAAAUAUUAUUAAUUUAAUGAAAUUAAGUUAGAUGUGAAGUUAGGAAAAAGAGUGAAAUAGUGAAUAGUAUUUUAUAAUUAAUACUAAAUAAUUUAGAAGUGAAAACGAGGUAUCAAGGCCUCAAAAUAUUAACCCAAGCCAUAAAUAUUUUUAUAAAUAUUUAUGGCGUGUUAGUAAGUUAGUAUUAAAGUUUCGUCAAGAAAUUUUAAGGUUUCGGUAGUCAAUUGGGUAAAAAGGACUAAAUUGAAUUAAGUGUAAAAUUGUGAAAUGUGAUUAAAUAGCUCUAGUAAUAAUUAGAGGAGGACUAAAUAGGCAAUUAAACACCUACUAUUGGGCUAGACAGCAUGUGUGUGCAGGAAAUAUUGAAAUUAGGUAUGAAUAGAGGUGUGCAUGGGCUGGGCCACCCGGCCCGGCUCGAAGGCCUGCCCGAAAUUUAGGAGGGUUUGGACAAAAAUAUAAGCCCGAAAAAUGGGCUUGGGAAAAAAAAUUAGGCCUGUUUAAAAAAUUGGCUGGGCUUGGGUAAAGCAUUUUUUGCCCGAGCCCGGCCCGAAUUUACUACAUGACAAAAAAUCUAUUUUUUUAAUAUUAUUUCCUUAUUGUUUUCUCCCUAUUUUGUUACUAUUUUACUAUUAUGUUGCUACUAUUUUGUUGUUAUUGUUUGGAUAUUAUAAAAUUUAUUUUAUUGUUAAUUUUUUUAUUAUUUUAACCACAUUUGUUAAUUUUGUUAUUAUUUUAGAAGCAUUUGCUUGUUAAGUUGCAUCUAUUUUAGUGUUAUUUAAGUAUACAUAUUUUUUAAAAUUUAUUUUCAAUAUGUUGAGAAAUAUUUAUUUUGAUGUUUUUAGUAUUUUUGAUAGUUUAUAUAUAUUUUAAAAUUAUAUAAAAAAUAAUUUAAAAAUUAAUAUAUGCGGGUCGGAUUGGGCCCGAGUUUUAACAUUUUUAUUCAGGUCGGGCUUGGGCAAAAUUUUAGGCCCAUUUUUCCGGCCAGGCCUAGCAAACUGGCCUAAAUUUUUAGUUGGGCCAGACUCGAACCCAGCCCGGCCAGGCCCAUGCACACCUCUAGGUGUGAACAAGGGGUAAAAUUUCAAAAGUAAAAAUUGAAUAGUUAAAAAAAUAGGAUGUGAUUGGAAAUCUAGAGAUUUCUUUAAUUUUCUUCAUCCUCUUCAAUUAAAAACAACCAUUGAAGAAACCAUAGAGCUGGUUUUUCAUAUUUUUACUGCAAGUAAGUUCAAAUCUUGAUUAUUUCUUGAAAUUUGUGUUUUUGAGACUUUUACAACUAGGUCCUAUCAUCUAAUUCAUUAGUUUUGAUUUCAUUUUAUAUUUUGAAAGUUUCCAUGAAUAAGUACUGGAAGUUUAUGAUGAUUUAGCAUGGAAUUAAAGCUUUAAUUUGUUUAUAUGCUGAUUUUAUUGAAAGAAUUAUAUAGAAAGUGAACAUUUGAGGACCUAAUUGUAAAAGAGCUUGAUAUUAGGGUUUAAUGUGGAAAUUCUAAAUUUCAAUGGUUGUGAAGUAAUUUAAAAUGUUUAAGGAAAGUGUUAAUUGAGAAGAAAAGGUUCUAUUGAUGAGUUAAUUGGUCAGGGACCAAAUUGUGAAAAUUGUGAAAUUUGGGGUAAAAGUGUAAUUUUGGGAAUUAAAGGGUAUAAAUUAUGAGAUAAAAUAAAAUUGAAAUGAAUGCUAAUUAAUGAAUGAUUUUGAAAUUAUAGAUCAAGAAAUUGAAGUGAAUCGUGGAAAGGAGAAAAUAGUCGAAUAAUUUUUUCGAACUUUUACAACUAUUGUGAAUUAGACCAGGUAAGUUCAUGUGGCUAAAUUUUAGUGAUCAUUGUUAUUCUUAUGAAUUUUAUAAUGACUUAUACUAUAUGAUUAUGAUAAAACCAUGAAUAAUGUAAAAACAUGAAAUUGGAGAAAUGAUCAAAUUUAAUGAAACAUUGGAUUGAGUACUUCUGUCCAGUGGCAAACGAUGAAUUGACGGAAAAAAAACCAUGGUUGGACCAUGGCAACAAGUGACAAGUGAUAUACGUAUAAGACCAUAGCUGGGCUAUGACAUUGGAGAAAAGUGGUAAGUGGUCCCGUGUAAGACCAUAUCCGGGAUAUGGCAUCUGUAUGAUAUAUGACUCGUGUAUGACCAUGGUUGGGCUAUGGCUUCGGAAAGUGAAACGUGAUCAUGUGCAAGUCCAUAGUUUUACUAUGGCAAAGUGAAGAUGAAGUACUCAAUUCCGUAUAGUUUCUUAAUUUGAAAAGAGAUGGUAAGUGAUAAAUGGGCCCAAAAGAAUGAAGUUUAAGAGUGAAUAAUAUUAAGUGAAAUUGACUUGGCUUGUGAAUGACAGGAGAAAUUAGUGAAUUGGAUAAUAUAUGAAUGCUUUACCAUAUUUGGGAAGUUUACGUUCUAAGCCUAUGAACUUACUAAGCUUUAACAAGCUUACUUGAAUGUGAUUGUCAUGUCUUGUAGAUUAACGUGGAGUCAGAGGAUCAGAUCAUCACCAAGAAUCACACUAUUUAGACGUUCUCUGGUAGUUUUUGGGUUAUUAUCUUUUGAUUUAUAUGGCAUGUAUAAGUAUUUUGUUGGAUAAAGUUAUAGAUGGUUAAAGUAUGUAAAAGGGAUGGCAUAUGUGUAUGAAACUUAGUUUAAUGGUUAAAUAGUAGUGUGUUAAUAUAAAAUGCAUAUUAUGGGUAUAAAUUGGCCUAUUUUCGUUCACAUGGAUAGACACACGGGCGUGUGUCUAGGCCGUGUGUGACACAUGGUAAGCCCACGGGCAUGUGAAAUGAUCGUGUGUCCCUUGCAUCCUUAAAUGUGAAGUCAGGAUAGUACACGGGCAAAAGACACGACCGUGUGUCUUGGUCUUGUAAAGGACACGGGUUUCAAGCAUGGUCGUGUGUUAAAAUUGUGUGAAAAUAGCUUAAAAAUGGCGAAAAAUUAGUUUACCACACGACCUAGCCACAUGGGCGUGUGCCCAGGCCAUGUGCCACUUUGAUGCUUAAAAAAUUGCAAGUCAGAAUUGCCCACGGGCUGGCCACACGGCCAUGGGAGCCAUACGGGCUAGCCACAUGAGCAUGUGCCCCUAACUUCAAGAAUUUUUUUUUAAAGUUUUCCAAAGUUACCGGUUUAGUUCUAAAUCACUUCUAAAGCAUGUAUUGGGCCCUGUAGGCCUAUAUUAGAGACUUUAUGGUGAAAUUUAAAAAGUUUUGAUUUGGAAUGAAAAUUUAUGACUCGGUUUUGUACAAAUGCUAAUGUAUAAGUUUGGCAAUCCUAUUCCAGUGACGGAUACGGGUUAGGGGUGUUACAUUUAAUGGUAUCAGAGUUCAGUUUAGCCGAUUCUCGGAAUGAUCGUGUUGUGUAAAGUGAUUAGAAAUACAUGCCAUAUAAAUCUGUGAUAGUGUAAUGUGUAUGAUUCAAUCUAACUCCUGUUAUUUUUAUAGAUAACUCCUGAUUAUAAAAAUGUCAGAUAGAGCAGAACGUAGAGAAUAAGAAGAAGUAAAUAGUAGAGUACAGACUUCUGAACAGGGGACGAGUAGUGAAGUUCCGAUUUCUUUGAUGAGGGAACGAGAACUUAAAUAUAUGAUUUAUGGAAUUAUGAAUCAAUGGUACAAUGAAACAAUGCAAGAAACAAAUUCGGCUCAACAACCCCCUCCCCCUACUGCACCAUCCAUAGUGCCCCCGGUUGCCCCUCCACCUCCUUUGACAACUGAAUCUAGUAAACGUACUCAUUGGCUCAGAAAACUCUGAGCUGAAGAAUUCCGAGGAAGAUCAGAUGAUGAUCCGGUUUAAGCAGAAUAUUGGUUACAGAGUUUGAUGAGGAUUUUUAAAGAAAUGGCAUGUUCACCAGAUGAUUAUUUGAGAUGUGCUCUGUCGCUACUGAAAGAAGAAGUGUACAAUUGGUGGGAAACAAUCGAGGCAGUGGUAUCGGUAGAGAAAAUCACAUGGGAAUUCAUUCAAAAUGAGUUAAAAAAGAAAUGUGUGCUAGGCUGUGUGCUAGGCCAUGCCAAACCUGUAGGGUAUACUAACUUAUGCCACACGGCCAAGUCACACGCCCGUGUGGAGCACACUGACUUAAUUUUAAUUUCAACACCAGGGGACACACGGCCGUGUACAUGACCGUGUAUCACACACGGCUGAGACACAAGCUUGUAUCUCUACCCGUGUGGACAAAAAUAGGCUAUUUAUCAAGCCAUUUUGCCAUCCAAACUUGUGCACACCUACAUCAAACCAAAUGGCACAAAACAGAGCACAACUAGGCAUUUAAAACAACUCCAAUCAAACUCAACUCAUUCCAUUCAAUGCCAACGAAUAAAUAACACAACAAUGACAUGAUAAACCCUUCAAUUCCAUAUCAAAACUCCUAAUUUCAAACAUCAAUAUGAACACUUUCAAAAUUUGCAUCAUCUAGCUUUAUCUCACAAUAUAUCAAAUUCUAUUCUCAACCAUUUAGUACACCUAAUUGCCACAUAUCAACAAGCAUAACAUAUUCUUCUUUAAUCAUAUAACCAAGCUAAAUGCACAUUGAUAUAUACAUAACCACAAACUAACCAAGUUAAGCCAACUUUCAUGGCUAUAUACAAAACCAAACUUUAAACAUAUACAAGCCAAUUCAAAUGGCUAAAUUCAUUACCAACACUUAACCAAAAUGACCCAAAAUCCCUAUACGUGCCAUAUACUCAAAAUACUUAAGUUUAAAAGUACCAAAGUGAUAGUAGGAUAGUGUGACGAAGUCUCCGACGAUCUUCGAAUCCGAGCUAGCUUUGAAAUCACUACAAAACACGGUAAAAUAAACAAAGUAAGCUUUAUAGCUUAGUAAGCUCGUAUGAAAUAAACUCAAUUUGAUUAUAAAUAUACAAUUCAAUAAAUUGAAUAUAUCAACAUGCAACUCAUAUUAACUAAGAAACCUUUCAUGUAUUCAAUCAUAAGAUUAUACAUGUCUUUCACAAAGUUCUUUGAUUUAAAGCUUAUAUGGUUCAUGUACAUACUUAUACCAUCUCGUAUCAAUCUCAUACUCAACCACGUCUAUCAUUUACUUUGUUGAACCAUUCGGAAUACUAUCGGAUACACAGGAAACUCACACCAAAGUGCCACAUAUAUAGCCAAUGCUAUCACAAUCUCAUAUCACAUACAUGCUCAUUCUCGAGCUAUCAACGGGCCUGCUCACACAAGCUGUGGGUUAAGACGUAGCUACACAGUGCUGCUCACACUAGCUUUCAAGUAACCACAACACAUGCCAGUAUACUUAGCCAUCGGUAGGAUGUACAGGACCAGGGGCGAAGCUAGAAAAAAUUUUUUGGGGGGGCCGAGGGAAAUUUUAAUUUUUUAUAGUCUAUAUAUUUAUAAUUUUUAAAGGAUUAAAUUAAAUUUUUAUAAUUUUAGGGGGGCCAAAGUGCGAUUUUACCUUUACUAAUUUAAAAUUUUAAAAAAAAUCUAAAGGGCCUAAAUGAAAAUUUCCCAUUUUAGGGGGGGCGAGGCCCAUGCCUGCCCCCCUGGUUUCACCCCUGUACAGGACUAGCAUUUGGAUCGCAAUAUCACAAUAACCCCUAAUGACAUGUCAUUCGUAUCCUAAUCUAUUCCUAAGGUUCAACCAGGAUUUUCACGUUUGUCAAAUCAUCGUCGAACAUGUUCGUAGUCUCGUAUUCACAUUUUAUGCAAUAUAAAAGCAUUUAAAAUACAUUUACAAUGAAACUUAUUACAUACAAACUUACCUCGAUUCACAAAAACGGUGAAAUAGGUCGAUUAAUCGAGUACUUUGUUUUUCCCCGAUCUAGAUCCGAAUAUCGUUUUUCUUGAUCUAUAAUGUCAAAUUUAACUUAUUUAAUCAUACAUUAUUCAAUAUAGCUCAAAAACACAUUAUGGAAAAAAUAAUAGUUUUGCCCCUAACUUUUAACAUUUUACAAUUUAGUCCCUAGGCUCGUAAAACGAAUUUCUUUCACUUUUAUCCCAACCCAACCUAGCUGAAUAUUAUUGUACACAUAACAAUAAAAAUGCAUUUUCUACCAUCCAGCAUCAAAAUACAAACAUAUUCAACAUGGGUAAAAUUUUAAACUUUAACUUUCUUUCAAAUUAGUCCUUAAAAUAGCUAAAUCAAGUUACAACAAUCUCAAAAAUAUAAAAAUCAUUAAAAACGUGACAAGAACGGACUUACAAUCGAGCUUAAAAGCUUAGCCAAAAACCCUAGUAAUGGAUUCUUGAGAACAUCGGCUAUGGGGGACUAAAUUGAAGGAGAUGUACACUUUUAUUUAGUUAAUUUGUCUUUAUUUACCAAUUUACUAAAAUACCCUUAAUGCAUAACUUUAAAAUUUUAUAUAACUAUGUCCAUUUUUGCCCAUCCUAAAGUAUAAUGGUCUAAUUACCAUUUAAGGACCUCUAGUAAUUAGACAACGCUAACUUAUAGAAUUCAAGUUUUGCUCCUAUUGCAAUUUAGUCCUUCUAGUCAAAUUGAGCACUCAAUCUAUAAAAUUUCUUAACGAAAUUCACACAAUUAUUAUAUAAUGCUGUAGAGCUUAAAUAAAUAAUAAAAUAAAUAUUUUUUCUUCAGAUUUGUAGUCCCGAAACCAUUGUUCCAAUUUGACCAAAAAACGAGCUCUUACAUAUAUACUUUUCAAAUUAUGUAAAUUGAAAGUAUCGUUCCAGUUGGAUUUGGAUUUCUUUUUUCUUCUGCAUAUCAUUAAUUAUUUAUCCUUUGUGUUGUCAAGAUCGUAUAUGAGUUUGACUUUCUAAGAUAAGCCAAUGCUAUGGAGAGAAUUCACUAUUUCUUAUACGAGAAUAACAUAAAGAACUAUGAGUUUUUGAAUAACAUAAAUGAGGAAUGGCUUUUGAGACAAAGGGAUUACGGAUCUCAGCUCCUUUUGUAUUUAUGUUGAGUUUUCCUCAUAUUUUUGAAUAACAUAAAGAACUAUGAGUUUUUGAAUAACAUAAAGUCAAUGAUUAUGGUUUUUGAAUAACAAAGGACUAUGAGUUUUGAUUUUUUAUUUCACAUAUGAAAGGAACUAAUGUUACUAAAAUUUAGUAAUUUUUAUGUAAAAUUUGAAGGUUUUUAUUUCACCAAAAGAUUGCUAUAAAUAAUUAAUUUAUUUAAUAGUAUACUUUAUAAGUAAUUGUUGUUACCAUGUUAUUAUAAAGGAUAAAAUAAAAUAUAAAAAAUAUGCCUUCUAUUAAAAUUGACUAUUAGAAUAAAAUGUUAUUAGAGGAUUAUCAUACCAUAUGUUAAACUUAUUUUUAUAUUGGCGAUUGUGAUCUCUUUGUAAGAGAAGAGGUGAGAAGAUAGAUCGAUACAAAUAUAUUAGGCAUUGAAAUAUUUUUAAUAAUAAUAUUAUAUUAAAAUUAUUAUUAAAUUAUAUAUUAUUUUAUUAAAUUAUAUUUAAUAAUAAUUAUGUUAAAAUACGAUUAAAUUAUUUAUUAUUGCCUUCAAAGCAAGCUCGAAGUAUUAAAAAGUUUUGCCUUUAGGGGAAGCUUCAUUACACCUAGUCUCUAAGGCAAACUUGAACUUCUUAGAUACUUAGCAUCCAAAGCAUGCAUUAUUUUGUCAACUUAGCCUUCUCAUGCUUAUUUCACUUUGUCAAGCAUCUAAUAAAGCUUCAUGCUUAAACUAUUCAAUCAUUCUAUUUCAUUAAAAAAGACUUCUCUUCUUAAAGCACAUAAUUAGGGCAACACAAACUCACUAAACACUCAACUUUCAAAUCAAUUACGUUAUAGCCUUUUUAGACAUCCCCUUUCUUAAUCAUUUAAACUUUCAAGGAUAAAUUCUCUUUAGUGCAUUUAGCCUUGAAGAUCUCACACGAGUUUUGCAAUAGUAAUCGAAUCACAAACAAACUCUAUAAUAAUUUUCAUCUUUUUUUUGUGAGAAGAGUUAUCAUUAUAUUUUCAUAAAUCAAAUAAACUUCAUCCAUGACAUAAAUACAAAGUCUACUCCAAGCCCAACCAAUCAAACAAUACUAUCAUCAAAUCACUAUUAGCAUACCAUGCAACCCAUUACAUCAAGUCACAUAACCAACCUAAUAAAGAACUUAUUUUAAAUGACAAGCUCACCAAUCAAAGGAGGACAUGUGGAAAACAAGUGUUUCCUUUAAAUAUCCCUCAAACCUCUUAUAACAAGUGAGAAGAACUCUUUCUCCUACCUCUCUCUCUUAACAAAGCUUCAUUGGAGCUUCUCCUAGUCUUUCUUCCCUCAACUCAGCCACUUGCAACUCUCAACCCAUCAAGUGAACUUCUCUCGACCUUCUCACCACUUUUUUUAAUCCAUAUUGUUAAACAUUUAUUAUAAUUGGAAUUAUUUUCUAUUUUUAUACAAAGCUUGGUUUUGGGAUUAAAAAAUUGUAAACUCUUUUUUCAAGUAUCUCUAACAAUAGGGUGAGAACUAGGACUACAAAUGUUGUAACAUCCAUCAAAUGAGAUGCUAUCUGUGAUGCAAAAGGAUAAGGCUGGUCGUGCUAUAGCUCAAGCAAUUGCAUAAUCACUACAAUGAUUAAGAUUUUUUUUGUCACACCUCGAAAUUGAGUGUAGAAGUUUCGAGGAUAAAUUAGGAAUUUUGGCUCAGAAUGAGUUCAGAAGUUUUCAAUUAUGGUAACCAGAAAUUAUUUUUUAUUAUAGCUUUUUGAAAAUCAAAUCAAGUUUUGAAAAUAAGGUAGGAAAGAACUUCAAUUGUAAAAUAUGGAUUUUUUUGUAAAAGGGUUCAAUUUAAGAGUAGUUUUAAAGCAAUUUUACCAAAGUUUUAAAAAUACCCAAUUUUUCUCCUUCAUUUUCAUAAAACCCAUGUUAGUUCUUCCCAUUUUUUUUAUUUUGUCGUCCAUUUUCUUUCCAAACCCUAUUCAUUCAAUUUUGAUUCCCAACCUUCAUUCCUUUGAUUUCUUCCAUCAUCAUAACAUUAAACCUAUUUAGAAUUCAAUAAAAACCAUAAAAAACAUCACAUAUUUCUCUAUUGCUUAACUUUCGGGUUUUUUUAAAUUUUCAAUUAAACGCUUGAUUAUUCACCAACUAAGGUAACCUUUCGUUUCCCCAUUGGUUUUUAAUGAUACCUAGCUUUUUAAAUUAAGUUACUAUCCAUUGAAUCGAAAUAUUUGAAUAAAAGUCAAAAGUUGGGUCAUUAAUUUUGAAAUUUAGGAUUUUGCAUAAAAACGAUGUUCCAAAGUGUUUUUCAACUUGUUUUGACAUGAUUAGAAGGUUUCUAAAUUUACCCUAAUUUUUGUUAAGAUAUUUUAAGGUUUUAUUAAGUUUUCAUGAAAAAUACAUAAUUUACGUCGAAAUUUUGGAACCAUGAAUUUGGUUAAUUUUGUGUAGUUUGAAAGUUAAGAAUUAGUCAUAGAUGAAUAAUUAGAUAAAUGGAAUUAGUUUUAGGAAAAUAGGAUAAGUGGAGAUUGAGAUAAUUGAGUUUUAAGUUUGCUAUCUCGAAGGUUUCGGUUCCAAGAAUAACUAACUUAGGCUUGUGUUUUGGUUGCUUUAAAAGUGUUUAUUGUUGAAAUUUAACCAUGGUUAUUGUGUGGUUAACUUUGGUAAAGAUACGGAAGUGUUAGAGCUUUCGACGAGCAAGGCAAAAGGAAAGGAAAAGCUAGUUUGAGCUUUUGACGACUAGGCAAACACGUGAACAGUGAGUGUUUGGAAUCGCUACUGGUAGACAUGAUUCAUAGUUUUAAUUGGUAGCUUAGGAAUAGCCUAAACCCCUAUCCUAAGUUUUUCAUGUAAGCUUUCUAUUCCCUUUGAUUUAUUUUGGAAAAAUGAGUGAUUAUGUGAAUAAUUGUGGAUUGAGUAUUAUGAUGCGAUAUUAUGACAUGAGAUGUAUGUGAUGGUUAUUGUGAACUAUGUUGUGUUGUGGGCAUGAUAUACAUGCCAAAUGACAAUGAUAAUGAUAUGCGAAUAAUGCAAAUAUGCAGCGGAAGUAAGUGGAAUUUCAGUAAGUACAUAUGUGUUGAAUUGUGGAAUGUAAUAUUAUUAUGAUAGAUAAUAUGUGAGAAUACUUGUAUGUGAUAUAUGACGUACUGAUUUUAAUGCAAACAUAUAUUGUUGGAUAUAUGAUGGCUUAAUGAGCAUGAUUGUUGCACUUAAAGUUUAAUUAAAUGUGCAUUUGAUAAACAUGCAUUAUUUACAAGUUUGUGAUGUAAAUUGAUGAAUAUGAACAGAGAUGAUGUCCAUUAAAUCAUUAACUAAAAUUAUGUAAUAGUGGAUAUUUUGGCCUUGUGAUCUCUUGAAACCAUUGGAUAUAGUUGGCAUGCCAGAGUACUCAUCCUUGUGUUUUUUGAUUUCGGCAUUGAGGCCCUGGGACAGUUUGGAGAGAUACAAGAAUGUGAGCCAAUAUCCAUUCACCGGGAUAUAUUGGUGUGUUGGAGAUUGUUAGCUAAAUACUACGCUUUAGGGAUAUGUUCGACUCUACAAGUCAUUUAGUCUGUUGGAGAUUUGUGUAUUCAAUGUAUGGUGAUAGAGCCCACUUUUAUAUUUCAUGGACUCAAGUUUCAAAUUAUCGUGUAAAUGUGAUCUUAUUUAUUGUGAUAAUAUGAUGUGAGUUGGAUGCAUAAAUAUGUAAAUAAUUUGCUAAAUGAGUCGAUUUAUGUUUCAUGAAAAUCUUAGUAUGUUCUUAUAGUAAAUUGUGUAUGUAAUUAUGGUUUGGGUCGUUUUCAUUUAACUUGUGAAUGCAUGUGAAUGUAUGAGCUAGACUUGUGAGUUAUUAAAGCAUGUAUACAUUGUUUAGUCUUAAUGAAUUAUUGUAAAAUGAUUUUUUUGUAUAUAAGUUGUGUAACAGCCCGUUUUUAGGUCAAAUCAGAAUAGUGGUCUCAGGACCAAAAAUCUAAAGUCAAAAUAUUUAUUUUAUUAUUUUAAUAAGGUUUACAACAUGAUAGAAUUAUUACGUAAAAGUUUCGUAAAGAAAUUUUACUGUUUGAACGCUUAAUUCAGUAAAAAGGACUAAAUCGCGUAAAGCGUAAAACUUGAGUUCUAAUAGCUAAAAGUGUUUAAUAGCUAUAGAACCUUAAAUUAAAGGUCCUUAUGUGGUAAAUAAACCAUUUAUGGUUAGUGGAUGAUGAUAGCAUGACAAUUGAUGUAAUUCUUAAUAUUUUUAAAGGUUAGUAAGGUAAAUUGAUAAUUAAGGUUAAUUAUAAUAAAACAAAACAAAAUUUCCUUCUCCAUUCAUCAUCAUCAACCGAAAUUAAGGUGAAUAAAACACCAUUUUUGCUUUCUUCAUUCGGCCAAGCUAUUUUGAGCAAUUAAGGUAUGGUUUUUAAUCCGUUUGUAAUGAUUUCUACGUUUUUGAAACCGUUGCUUUGUAUUCUAGGUAGCCUGUACCCUAAAUUUUGUAAUUGUUGAAGAUUUAACAUGUUUCCAUUGUUUAAUAUUUGAGUUCUUUGAUGUUUAAUGAUAGAUUAUAGGAGCUUGAUGAUAGUUAAACUAGUUUUGUAAAGUGAUUUUUGACAAAAAAUGCAAAAUAGGGAUUAAAUUGUGAAAUUGUAAAAUAUGAUGGUUAAAAGUGUGUAAUAAUGAAAGAUAUGGGCUUCUAGUAGUAUAUGGUAAAUUUGGCUAGGUAUGGGUUGGUACUAAAUUGCAUGAAUUUGCAAUUUUAUGUGAUAAGGACUAAACUAUAAAAAUUAAAAAGUGUAGGGCAAAUAUGUAAAUUGCCAAAAUUAUGUAUUAAGGGCUAAAUUGAAUUAAUUAAAUAUUGAUAAUAUAUAGAUCAAGAUAAGCCGAGAUCAAGUUUAGAUUAGGGAAAAGGAAAGAUCGAUGAAUAGCCGAUAGUUUUUAUCUGAGCAAUACGAGGUAAGUUCGUAUAAAUAGAAUCGAACUUUUAAUUGCUUGUAUUUAUUUGAAAUGCAUGUAUAUAACUGAGAAAUUGAUGUACUUGGAAUAAGAGUGCCUAAGUGAUAUACAUAUAUUGAUGGUUAUCGAGCCCUGUUUGAACCGUAAGAAUUCGUAGGAUACGAGUGACAUGUCACUAGGGUUACCGUUUUGGUCAAGCUCCUGCAUUUGUUGCGGACUCACCACAACUCGUAUGAGCUUACCGAUAUAUAAGCUCGUAAGAGCUUACUAUUUUCAGCUCAUUGGAGCUUAUCAUUUCAGCUCGUAUGAGCUUACUGUUCUCAACAGAGCUUACCGUUUUAGCUCAAUAGAGCUUAGUGUUCAUCAGCUCAGGAGGAGCUUACCGAUCAUGACUCGAAAGAGUAUAAAUGAUAAUGAAUUGACGAAUUACUGAUGUUUGUCACCCGAGUAUCCUUUGAAGUUCUAAUAAGUUCAACGGGCAUAAAUUCUAUUUAUACAGAUGAGUAUUGUUAUCGAUUGGAGUAUUGGUUAUAUGAUUAAGAAUGAAAUGAUGAAUGCUAGUUAUAUUGAGUAUUGAAUUGUGAUAGUGGAUGAUUUCAUGUAUUAAUAUGUCAACCUAUGGAUGAAUACUUGUGAUAGGCAUUUGGAAAUUGUAUAGAGUUUACCUUAGUUACUUGUAUUGAUUUAGUUUAAAUGGUAAGUUUAAUUUUGAAUUAUAUGGGCUUACUAAGCUAUAAAACUUACUCUGUUUCUUUUUCUAUGUAUUACAGAGGUUCGUUAGCUCGCUCGUUUAGGACAAAGUGGAGUUGCACAUCACACUAUCAAAUUUCUGGUUGGUACUUUUGAACUUGUGGAUAUUGUAAAUAUGGCAUGUAUAGGCUAGUUUAAAAGAUGUUAAUUAUGUUACUUGAUAUCAUGGUUUUGGUACAUUUUGUAUAUGAGUUAGGACAUGUGAUUUGGCUUAUUUUGGUAUCAUAUUUGGUUGUGUCUAAGUGUUCAAUUAUGGUAUGUUUUAUCAAGGAAUUUAGGGAAUGCAAAUGUGCAAAAGAUGUCUUAAUAAGUAGUUGAGAUAUGAAUGGAUUAUGCAUGAUGUUAAUUAGGUACUUGGGUAUGUAAAUGUUAGGUUUGAUAUGGCAAAUAAAGUGUAUUGAAAUGGUUGAUAUGAUUGCCUAUUGAGUUGUAAAAAUGUUGUCAUUUAUGCUGGUAUGAGCUUGUGAAAAUAGGGUGGCAAAAUGGCUUUGUAAAUAGCCUAUUUUUGUCCAUACGGGCAGAGACAUGGGCAUGUGUCUUAGCCUUCUAUGACACAUGGUCAUGUUGCACGGCCAUGUGUCUCUUGAUGUUGAAAUGAUAUAGAAGUCAGUAUGCUCCACACGGUCUCACACAUAGGCGUGUGACCGGCAUUGUGGUACAAGUCAGUAUACCCCCUAGAUAGCAUACAGUCUAGCAUACAGACAUGUGACUUGGCCGUGUUGAUAAGUUAGUAUACCCUACAGUUUUGGCACGGCUUGAUGCACGGGCGUGUGUGGCCAUUUUGAUUGGCACAUAGGCUAGACACACAGGCAUGUGGGUGGCCGUGUGACCUAAGUCAGUAUCCUCUCCAGUUUUCACACGGCCUGGCAUACGGGCAUGUCCUUGACCGUGUGACACAAGUUAGUAUGUAUGCCCUAUUUCCACACGGUCUAAGACACGUGCAUGUCUAUUAUUCAUGUAAGGCACACGGCCUGUUCACACGGGCAUGUGAUACUUGAAAUGUUGAAAUUUUUCUAAGUUUCUAAAAUUUUCAUAUGUUACUGAUUUAGUCCUGAAUGUAUGAUUUAAGCUUUAUAUGUUUGAUUUAAGUACUUAUUGAAUGUGAAUGAAUGAUAUUUAGUGAAAUGAGAUGAUAUUUGAAAAAUGAUUGUUCUGAACUGAGUUACAAGUCCGCUAAUGCCUCUUAACCUAUUCUGGUGAUGGUUACAGGUUAGGGGUGCUACAAGUUGAGUGUAGUUGUGCGUGAGAGUAUAUGCUAGUUUUAUGAUUUAAUUAAGUGUAAAUAUGUUAUUGUGACUUGGUUAGAAUAUGGUUGGGAACAUGUUGUAGUAUGCUCUUGUUUAACCUUUGAUAUUGUGUAUACUUUAUGGUUACUCCAACAUUCACUAAGCUUGUUUAAGCUUACCCAGUCUCUUUAACCAUUGCAGAUAUUUAAUGUUUGCGAUGUGAAUGGUUCGGGGAUACCAAGGAAGUGAUCCAAGUUAAGCUUUAAUUUUUGUGUAGGUGGUACUAUUAUUAUUCUUUGAACAGUGGGAGUAAGGCAAUGUGGUAGACUUUUAGCUAAUUGAUGCCAUGAUGUUUUGGAUGUUUACAUGAUUUUAUUGCUCUUAGGAUUUAUGGAUAUCAAGCUUGGCAUAUUGAUUGUUUGUUCAGACAUAUUUACGAUGUUUUGAACUACCAUUAUAGUUGUUUUGAUGAUUGUUUGAUAAAGUAAUAGAUGCAAAUUGGUUUGGAACAAGUUUGAAUGGACUAAAUGCCUUAAUAUGCUGUGUUUUUGUUGCCUAGAGUAGAGGUAUUAAUAUUUGAGUUUUAAAAUCGACACCUCCUUGAUAUUUCGAAUGUGCAGGAAGUCAGUAACUUAAUUUCAUAUUAAUACCAUGUCACGAGUAUCGAUACUUAGGGUAAUAAAAUUGAUACUUUUUGAAAUUUACCGAUAAUUUCUUGGGUUUUGAUUUUAGGUGAGAAACAAAAUGCUAAUUUGGUACCAAUUUUGUAGGUGGUAGCGAUACCAUCUACAAGAAUUAUCGAUACCUUUGAUUUAGUAUCGAUACCCAUGCGAUUUAUUCAGAAAUUUUGCUAACUGGAUUAAGAGCAUGUUUAGAUCUUGUUAUAAGCUCGUCUGAUGUAUGUUUAGCAUAAUUUAAUGUUGCUUAGGGUAUUCAUGACUUAGAAUCUCUAUAAUGAUCAAAUUCAAUUUUAUGAUAAUUACAUGUCAAUGAGAUGAUUUAUGCUUUGUUGUUGAUAAGACGGUGGUGUAGCGUCCUAUUACUCAGGCUCGGCGAUCAGGCCAGAUAUAGAGUGUUACAUUUUUAGUGUCGAUAUAGUUGCGGCGAUAAAGACUUUUGUCACAAAUAGUUGAUUAUUUGUGAUGAAUUCCAUUUGUGACAUUAGUAGAAUAAGUAAUUGUGAUUCGUUAAUAUUAGGUCAUUAUUAUAACAACAAUUGUGAAAAUUUAAAUUAUUUCACAAGGAAUUUGUCACUAUAAGUGUAUAAUUGAUACCAAAUAUGCUGGUCACUAUAAAUUCGUCACUUAUGAAAUGCUAAAUAUUGGCGUGAAAUGUAAUAGUGACAAGUAUAAUAUUCACUAUUAUUAACCAUUAUUGUGAUGAUAAAGAAUUUUGUCACUAUAAAAUUUACUAUAUAGUCUAAAUCUACGUCACAAAUAAAUUGCCACUACAAGUGUAAAAUUGUUACCAAAUCCAUUAGUCACUACCAGUUUGUCACUAAUGAAAUGUUAAUUAUCGGCAUAGUUUUUCCCAAGAAAUGAUAUAAUAAUGACAACAUAUAUAGUCACUAUUAUUAAUCACUACUGUGAUGAUAGAAUUUUUGGUCACUAUAAAAUUUACUUUUACAAUGAUGUAAUUAUGAUGAUUUAAAUUACUUCACAAGUAAAUUGUCACCAUAAGUGUAUAAUUCUUACUAAUGAAAUACUAAAAAUUAGUUCUAGGUUCUUUUUUCCAAGAAAUGAUGUAAUGAUGUAAUGAUGAUAACAUAUCUAAUAAUCACUACUAUUAAUCAUUAUUGUAAGGAUAAAUUUUUCACUAUAAUUUUUUUUAUAAUUAUGUAAGUAUGAUGGUUUAAAUUACUUCACAAAUAAAUUGUCACUAUAAGCUUAUAUUUGUGACUAAAACUAUUUGGCAAUGUCAAUUUGUCACUAGUGAAAUGCUCAAAUUGCCUCCAAGUUCUUUUUUCCUCGAGAAAUGUUGUAAUAUUGACAACAUAUUAUUAUGACUGUACAAAUUAACUUCAAGUUCUUUUUUCCUUAGAAAAUGAUGUAAUAAUGAACUGUUUAGUUUUUUUAAAAACUAAUAUUAGUGUGAUUUUAAUUUAUAAAUUUAUUUUGGAUAUUAAUUUUGAAAGUUUUAAUGUCAUAUGUUUCAGCUAGCUGAUCUACUAUUGGUUAAUAUAAUUUUAUUAGUUAUAAUCAUAUUUUGUUUAGGUCAAGCUCUCAUUGAAUUCAAUUUCAUGUUCUUUUAAUAUUAUUAUUUUCUAGCUAUUUAUUAUUUAUUAUAAUUAGAUAUCCUUAUUAUUAUUCAAAUCCUUGAUUAGUGUCAUGAUUAGUGUCACAAGUUAACCAGAAAUCAACUUGAUUUAAAAAAUUAUAAAAAUAUCAUUUUAUAUUUAAAUUAAGUUAUAUUAUUAUUAUGGUACUUUUUUCUUUUAUAAAACCAAUAAUAGUCUUGUAUGUAUUUAGAUUUGAACCCAUGCCACCAACAUUUACAAAAAUUUACUUUUACCACUCCAACUAAAAUUUUAUUUUGUCAUUUUAAACCCCUAAUUGAGUUGGUGUCAUGAGUCAACUAGACAUCAACUCGAUUUGGAAAAUUAUUAAACUACCCUUACAUACUUGAAAAUUUAGUGUAAUUUUGUCUUUUUACCUUUUUAGUAAACCAAUAAAAAAAACUUGUAAAUGGUGAGAUUUGAACAUAUGCUAUUAAUGUGCAUAAAAUCUCAACUUUACCUAUUACUUAUUACUUACCGGAGUUUGGUGUCACAAGUCAAUUCGACACCAACUCGAGAUUGACGAGAGUUUUUUUUUAAAAUAAAAGUUACCACUCUACUUAUGAUUCAAUUGUCAAAUGAAUAUUUUAUAACUCUACUUUUAAUGGUGAAAGAAUGUAAUAACAUUUUGACAUUUUGAUGAUAUGUUAAAGGUUAAAAUAUGUCAUAAAUCCAUGUACUCUGCACAAAUUUGGAAUUUAAUCAUUGUACUUUUAUUUUGGGAAUUUAGUUCCUUUAUUUUUCAAAUUUCAAAAUUUAGGUUUAGUUAUUAAUAUAGUUAUAAUUUUUUUGUUAAAUUUUUUAAUGUCACAUUUUGAAAUGAGAAGAUUACUCACUUGGUAACCAUAUAACUAAAAAAAUGACCAUGUACCUAAUUUGAGCAAAAUAAUGUUAAUAGUGUUAACAAUUGGAUUUGAAUUUUGAAAUCUGAAAAGUAGAAGGACUAAAUUAUUGGAAAUAAAAUAAUGUAAUGCCCCAAACACGGCCUAGAUGUUAUGACCAAAUCCGGGAGUGCUACAAAGAAAGGUUUUGAAACCGACGAUACUUCGGUAAAACCAUGUGUAGUUAUUUGAUAAAACGUCCAAGUUUUAUAAAACAAAUACAUUUAUAUAUUACUGAAAUUGUUAUAAGUUGUUCUUUAAAUUUAACCAUUUAUUUCAUAGCUAAAGUUUGAAAAUUGUUUAAAACAAAUCCAAGCUCGUAUUUCCAAAACCAUUUGUUAAAACCAUUUGUUUGCAUAAAGUGUUUUUGUCAAUGUUGCAGAAAAGAAAGCAAAACAAAAUCCAAAUCCAAAAAUUAAAACCAUAUAGUCCAGAGAGUCCUAAAAAUUACAAACUCUUAAGAAAAACCAGAUUUUAAAAUAAAACCGUUACUACCAAAUAAAAGCAGUUCUCUGUCGAGUGGUCACCGUUGAGCCUUCGUCGCACCAACUCGCCUAAGUCUAUGGAUUACCUGAACAGAAUAGACAAACAGAUGUGAGUUUUCAUAAACUCAGUGUGUAACCCAACAGAAAUAGUCAUGCAACAUACACAGAAUUUUAUGUAUAGUCAAAUACAGAUUCGAACCUAAGUCCAUAACAGAUACAAAUGUCAGAUAAACAAAGUAGAUAUACAGAAUCCUACCCCCAUCCUCUACCACCUUCUCCAACCAUCUCAUCACACCAUGUGGGGUUAAAAAACCCAUCCCUCCCAAUACACAAUAUAGUGUCGAUGCGAUACAUAAUAGAAUAAUAUGCAGUCAAGCUGCCAAAAAAUAGGCGAAAGGUCGCCGUACAGAUCACUUCCUCCACAUAUGCAAAUCCCACCCCAAACAUAAAUACAAAAUAUAGAAUCAACAUGCUUAACAUGCUCAUAUACAUAUAACAUCUAUACUCAAACAGAACAAUCAGACAUACAAAUCAGUGUCCUACUCAGAUCAGACUAUCAGAAUAUUAGAUCACAUGUAUUAGGGUUUGGUUAGCCCUUAUCGACCCUACGAUAGGCCCACAGUUGAUCGGAAAGACCCGUGCGACCUAGGGUAAAUUUCAAAAUUCUGGGCCUACAUGCUCGUGUGGGUCCACACGCCCAAAAUGGCUUUCCCUGUGUGGUUCCCACGGCCUAGCCCAAACCCACAUGCUUGUGUGGCUCACACGGCCUAGCCCAAACCCACAUGCUUGUGUGGCCUGUCUGUGUGGGCCCAUACACCCAUGUGGGCCACACACCUAACCUGCCCUAGCUCGUGUAGUCCACACUUGCCACCACACAACUGUGUCUUGCGCCCAGCCACACCUACGACAUUCACACGGCCGUGUCUCACACAAGGCUAGCCAUAUAGCCGGGCACACGCCCUUGUAGCAUCAACAGUGCCCUUUUUUGGCUUUCGUCAAACCUCAAUUUUUUUGUUUUUAGGGUACCAACCUGAUAUGGUUCUAACGCGAACACUCCCACAAGACAACCCGAACCUAAAAUUUAAUUAAGAACACUAGUCAAUAACUGAAACGAUGUAUAGAACUAAAAAUCCCUAAUCCAUCGAAGUGUUCACCUUUAACGAACAACUCUUCUCAAAUCUAAAUCAUCGAAGAAUCGAAUGUUUCUAGCCCUCCUCAUACACAAUCAACCAAAUCCAAGCAUUCAAACUCAACAUUCAUGAAAAUUGAAAACUAAUUCCUGCAACAGAAAAUCCCUAACACAUAAUGAAAAGGGUAAAAACUACUUACGAAAUACUUCGACUGCAUAACAGAUAAUUAGAAGCACCUGAACGAUUAAAGAAAAUCAAAGAACUUACCACACCGCCGUUUGAUCAAAUGCAAGGGAGAGAAGGAAAAAGAAAAACACAAUAUGGAAUAUGGGAAAAAAAGAACAUGAAUUUGGGGAAGGGAAAAAAUUGGAAAAAGAAAAUAAAAAUAAAAUUAACUAAUAUUAUUUUAGUCAUAUCCUUAAAAUCUCUCUACUCCCUACUACUCCAGUAACCCAAACCAACCACUUCAGAAUUUCAGCCCCACUGAAACUCAGUCAGACAACCGAGACAAAAAUUAACAUCUACACUCACACAAGAACUCGAACACGAGACUACAGGGCAUGCUAACACCUUACCAGUUGAGCUAACAGGACCACUCUAAAAUGAGUUUGCAAACAAUAUUAUAUAAGUCCACCCAACAGGGAUAAGGCUAGGAUAAAAAAUACAGAAUUUGCUAAAAGUAGGACUUAAACCUAAGACCUCACACACACACUCAGAACACUUAACCAUUGAAGCAUAUACACAUUUAUGUCAAAUUUCACAAAAACAGACUUAAAUUAUUCAGGGUGUUACAAGUACAAAGACUAAAUUCUAAAAUUUUGAAGAGUACGAAGACUUAUGGCAUGCCUUAAUACUUUCUAGCACAAUGACAUUUUAAUGUGCUAUAAAAAAAUGACACUACGAGUUAGAAAGCAAUUGAAGUGCAUUUAAUAUUCUUAAUCACAUGCAUUUACCUAUUUAAUUUUUUCGCUCACGAUUUAAACUAAUUUGUUUUAUUUUAAUUGCAUACAUAUUACGUAUAUGUUGCAAUUAAGAUUAAUUUAAAACCAUAUGUUUCAUUGUUUAUUGGAUGUUAUUUUUAAAAGCACACAUAUAUUCUAAAUAGGUUGUUUCCACACAUACGGAUGCAAUAAAAUUUUUAAUUAUUUAUUAGUACAACUAAAAAAGUCUUUUAAAAUAAUUUAUAAUUUAAUUUAAAAAUCAACUUUUAUUGAAUUAAGGUUAUUAUAUCAUAUAUAUUUUGAAAAAAAAUUAUAAAAAAUAGGGCAGUUUAAUGGGGCGUAGGGUUUAAUUGCAAUUUUUUUUGAAUAUUAAUUCUAUUAGGUUGUUAUCAUAUUUGCUCUUUUUGAUACAAUACUUAAAACUAUCUAUAACCCCUCCCCAACCCUUAAAUAGGAGUAUAAUGUGCUUUAGCGCACUCGAACUCGCGUCCUCCUGCACUGACAAUAAUACAAAUGCCAAUAGAGCUAAGACUCAAUUGGUGGUUUAAUUGCAAGAUUUUGUUUUAACGGUUUCAAUAUUAUAUAUCUUUUUAUUUUUGGAUUGAGUUUAUCUUGGCUUUGGGAAGAACUUUCCAAACUUUCACACUAAAUUUUUGUUCAUUUUCUCUCGUGGGCUAAUAAUUUUAAGCUUUUGAGGUAAUUGUGUUCCAGUCCUUCAAUUUUUUACCAUUUAAGUAAAAUUGAAUUUCUUUUAUUUGUCAAUGCUAUCAUAACACAGUCUUUUAAUUUUACGUUAUUUAUCUAGUUUCAACUCUUAUUGAUUAGUAUAUUUAUUAAUAUUAUAUUUUUGAAUAAUUUUUUUAAAAAAAUCCAUGAUUUCAAAGAUUAAAUAAUUUUCAUUUGGUUUGUUAAAUGUUUUUGCAAGUCCUCAAGGUAUCAUGGAUUUGAUAUCUCUAUAUGAUUGUUUAUAUUUUCAAUCCUCUAUUCUUCCUAAAAGGGUUGGGGGUUCUGUUGGUGGGAUAACUAAUAGCUAGUAAUUAGUUAGCUAAAAUGGUUAGUUGGUUAGAGGUCAGUUGCCAAGUAGCAGUUAAUAUAUAUAAACAACAAUAUAGAAAUUAUGAAAACAAGCUUGAUAGUUUUUCAACUUUAAUUCAUUCUUUCCUAUGUUCAAUUGAUUGUUUCUUGUUUUCAAUUGAUUAUUACUUGUUUUUUGUAACACCCCGAACCCGUAUUCGUCACCAGAAUAGGGUUACAGAGUAUUAUCAGAAACUUUUAACUUAAAACAUUCAAUUACAAUCAUUUAUAAAACACAUCAUAUUCCAUUCAAAAACAUGCAUAACAUCCCUUUUUCGAGCCUUCGAGGCCUUAGAAACAUUUUAGAAACAAUUCGAGACUAAAUUGAAAACAUUUAGAACUUUAUGGCAAAAGAUAUAAAAAAUUCAUACUACAGGGGUCACACGGCUGAGACACACACCCGUGUCUCAGGCCGGUGGGUAUUCGAAGUAGGGACACACGGUCGUGUCCCAGCCUGUGUAACUCUCUGACUUGGGUCACACGGCCAAGCCACAUACUCGUGUGCCAGGCUGUGUAACUCUCGAAAUACAACUUAUAAAAAUCUACAAGGGACACACGGCCAUGUCGCGUGACCGUGAGUCACACACAGCUGAGACAAACACUCGUGUCUUAGGCUGUGUGGACGAGAAAUAGGCCAUUUUCAAGCCAUUUCGUUCACCCUAAACAUGCUCACACAUACAAACCAUUUGUACCUAUUUCAAACAUUCAAAAAUGCACCUAAAACAUAUAUAAUGUAGUUAAAUCAAAAUGACAUCUAUCCAUACAACCAAUAUGUCUUAAAGGCACCUCAAAUACAAUAAUCAAAUUUGACUAAACAUUUGCUAAAAUUUGCCAUAAAUCAAUCAACCAAUUGAACAACUUAUAUACUACAUUUACCAUAAUGUUCACAUAUCAUUUUCGUACUCAUAACCACGAAUAUGACCAUUCACACAACUCAAUCAACACCUUAGCAACUUAGCUAUAUGCCAACCAUAACCAAAGCUACCAAAACUAGCCAUUUAACAACUCAAUGCACUAUAUCACUCCAUACCAAACCAACAUUUCAUACCUUUAUAAUCAUCAUUUCAACUACCAUCAUUUAAGUACUUAGAUACCAAACUAACAACCAUUAAAGUACCAUACAUACAUGACAACUUAACAACUAUUGCAUCACUUAAAAUAGCAUAUUUACAAGCCAAACAUAAUGGCUAAUUUCAUCAAACAAAGACACCUAUACAUGUCAUUAUAAUCAUGAUUAAAAAUCAUUAAAAUCUACCGACAUAGCUGAUGGAUAGUGUGAUGGAUCUCGGACUAGCUUCCAACCCGAUUGAGCUUCUGAUAAUCUGUAAAGUAAAAGAAAAUAACUACGUAAGCAAUGAAUGCUUAGUAAGUUCGUAUAAAAUUUAAGCAUAAUAUUCCAUUUCAAUAAUAAACUUUAUAGAAUAAACAUAAAUCUAUGUCAAUGCCAUAAGAUUCAUAAAUCAAUAUGAUCAUUAAAUCAUAAAUGAGUAAGUUCACUGAUGUCGCAUAUAUUUAUCAUUCAUAUCAUGAUAGGAUUUUAUAGGACUUACUAGAUCAUCAUAAACCUUUUUAUAAUAUUAUACACUUUAUAAUUUACUCAUUUUUCAUUCUAUUCCCAAUGCUUAUCAUAAGCCUAAACAACAUUAUCAAUUCCCGACUUAGUGUAUUUAUCCAUGUUAUAAGUAUAUUCAUCCAUAGCAUACGCCAAUUUCCAUAUAUAAUACAUCAUUCAAACUCAUUGCUUCCUUUUUCCUUAACUUUCAUUUCAACUAUGAAUUUACCAUUUUAUUACCUUUCUUCACCCAUUUCAUAUGCAUAAAACACAAGUUAUAAGCACGACAUCAAACAUGACUACAAACUAGUAAAUUUAAACAUAGCUCUUUUGGAAUCAAUCACAUAAUCAACUAUUGCAUAAGAAAUUACAUAUUUUGAUUUAUUCCACCUUUUCAUGGACAUAAACACAUUACCAAUUAAACAGUUACCGUUUCAAUUUAUUUCAUUAAGAUUAAACAUGAUAUAAUUCAAUCACCAACUUGGCAUGAGCCUAAGCACCAACAACAAUACAUGUUAGCAUAAUUGAAUAUAAUUCAUGUGAACUUAACAUAAAUAACCAUUAUACCUGAGCAUGAUUCAAUUGGAUUUAUCAUCAUUUAUAACAUAUCAUAUUUUCCAUGUAUCACCAUUUCAAUAAAUUUCAUACAUACAUGUCUUGGUUCAUAUUAAACACUUACCAUAGCCACAAGCUAAUGAUUAAACACAUAACUUAGUGAUAUCAUCACAUGGUAAGAUAUAGUACAUAAAUAUAGCAUCUCUUAAAUCAUAUCUUUCAUAUUCAUGAAUAUAAAUCAUACAUUUCAUAUUCAUGAAUAUUCAUACUUUAAAUCAUUAGUACAUCAUACCAUUUCAUAUUUGUCGUAGUGAAGUCAAUCGGUACCCUUACGCAAGCUCACACAAAGUGUGUUAAACGAUGGUCGAAACCAUCCCUUUUCUGUAAUUAAUGAAUACUGUGAAGAUGAUUGAAACCUAGUACACGUUUACUUUGUGCCAUAGCCCAACUAUGGUCUUACAUAUGCAUUGCCAUGGUCCUGCCAUGGUCUUACAUUCGUAGUUCCAUAACCCAGUUAUGAUCUUAUCAUCAGAAUGCCAUAGCCCAACUAUGGUCUUAUAUAUAAACACUACCACGGUCAAACCAUGGUGCCAUAACCUAGUUAUGGUCUUAUCAUCAGAAUGCCAUAGCCCAACUAUGGUCUUACAUAUAAACACUCCCAUGGUCCAACCAUACUCUUACGUUUGAAUAAUUUCCAUAGCCUUGCUAUGGUCUUACGUGCGAAUGCAACCUGUCUCUAUUGAUAUCAGAAAUUAUCAUUUUUGUAACUUUUUGCAAUUUCUGUUCUAUCAAAAAAUCAAUUUAAUAUCAGUAAUUUUACAUCAUUUAAACUUUAAUAUUCAUAAAUACUUAGAAAUAUAAUUGAGUUCAUAUUAAUGAACUUACAAAGCUAAUUUGCAGUCAAUCGAUGAUCGACGUAAUAUCAAUUUAUUACAUUUUCAAUUAUAUACAUCAAUAUAAUAUAAUAUUAUGCAAUUAGGUUCAUAUAUUUCUUAAAUAUAAACUAAAAUUUUACUGAACGAACUUACCUGGCUAAAUUGUAGAAAUGACAAAGUAUAGGGGCAUUUUGGUAGUUUUUUAUUCUCCUCAAUUUUCCACUUGAUCUUGAUCUAAAUUAAUAAUUCCAUUCGAUCUAUUAAUUUAUAUAGUAAAAAAGUAUUUUAUGCAAUUUAGUCACUUUUGAUAUUUUUACAAAAUUGCCCCUAAUAUUUUACUUUUAUUCAAUUUAGUCCCUAAGCCUAAAACAUACAAAUUAGCCAUUUUAAUGCCAAUUCACAUCAUCUAAAUAUUCAUGGCACACAAAAUAACUCAUAUUUACAAUAAUUUUACAUCAAAUCCUUGUAUUUUUACUAUUUUAACAAUUUAGUCCCUAAUUGAUAAAUUCAUCAAAAUUACUUAAUAAAAUACUUAUAAAUAAAAAAUAAUACUUAAAAUUCAUCAUUUAAUAACUAAAAUCACAUAUAUUCAUCAAUAGAAACAUUCAAUAUCUUUAACAGUUUCAAAAUCGAAGGUACAACAACGAUUUCAAAAACAUAAAAAUUAAAAGAAACAUGUGAAAAACGGACUCACAUGCACCCAUUGAAUCUUGGCUGAAGCUUGGAGCUUUUCCCCCUUUUUGUUUUGACUAACAAUGGUGAAGAAGAUGAAUGAAUUAUGUUUUAAUUUCUUUUUCUUAUUUUAUUUACAUUAUAAUAUAAUAUAAUGUUUUUAUAAAUUAAUAAACAUCAUUUUUUUAACUAAAUAACCCCACUAACCAUCCAACACCUUUUAAAAAUGGUAUAUUUACCAUUCAAGUCCACUUACCUUUAUUUAAUAAACCAUUUAAUCACUCUAAUCAAAUAGUGAUUACAUUUUAUAUUUUUUACGAUUUAGUCCUUUUUUACUUAAUUAGCUAUCGAAACGUUACAAUUUUUCAAAAAAACUUUAAUAAAACCUUAAUGACACUCUGUAAAUAUUUAUAAAAAUAUUUAUGGCUCGGUUUAUAAAAAUAAGGUCCCGAUAUCUCAUUUUCUAAAACUAUUUGACAUUAGGGUCUUACCACUUGAACUUAAUAAAUCGCUUAUAUAACUUAAAUUAUCAAAUCAAAAACUUUUUUAAAACCAUAUUUAACUCGUAAAUAUUAAAUAACAAUAUUUACAAACUUACUCACUGGAUAUGGUGGCCCCGGAACUACUGUUUCUGGCACCACUGAAAAACGAGUUGUAACAUUUUCAAUUAAUUGUUUUGUUAUUAGCUACUAUCUCAAAAAUUAAUUGUUUUUGUUUUCAAUCGGUUGUUUUGUUAUCUACUGCUAUCUCAACGUGGUAUCAAAGCCUGUGGUGGCCGUCAUAUUAUGAUCAUUGUUGUUCCUAAAAUUUGUUCUUGGUUGCAGUUAAAAGUUACUGGGCUGUUUGUAGUUUCUUCUCAGUCUGGCUGUUUCCCCGAAUCUUGUAGUUGGAAUUCAUUUAUCUUGUUUAUGAUUAUGAAUCUUUCUGAUCAGGUUAUCUAUUUUAAUCAUCCUUUUGACCUAUAUCCUUUGGACACCCCAGGUUCGUUACUAGCAUAUCAUAAACUUCUUGGAAUUGAAAAACAUAAUGUUUGGAGUCGAUCUAUGAAAAUUGCAUUAUUGGCCAAGAAAAAAUUAGGGUUUGUUAAUGGCAAUUGUUCUAAAGAUUCUUUCUAUGAGGAUUUUUAUUCACAAUGGGAGUGAUGUAAUGCUAUUGUGUUAUCUUGGAUAUUGAAUACUGUUAGCAGAGAGCUCCUAACUGGCAUCGUUUUUUCUUCCAGUGCAGAGGUAGUUAAGAAAUAUCUUGGAGAAAGAUUUAACAAGGUUGAUUGUUCUAGGAUUUUUUUCUUACAUCGGGAAAUAACUUUUCAUCUUCAAGGUACCCCCACUAUAUUUGCGUAUUUUACAAAGUUAUGGUUAUUAUGGGAUGAGUAUGAUACUCUUGUCCUUUUCUUUUCUUAUGGUUGUGAUCAAUCCAUGAGAAAUAUUGAGCAUGUUAUGUAGUAUUGAAUUUUUCAAUUUUUGAUAGUGUUAAAUGAGACUUACAAUGUUGUUAGUUGUCAGAGUCUUUUGAUGAGCCCUUUGCCUUCUGUCAAUCAAGCAUACUCUAUGCUUGUUUAGGAGGAAUCAUAGUGACAACUCAUUCCGUGGACUAUAGAUGUUGUUCUAACAUCAUUUUCUGCUAGUGUGUCUCACAAGAAAAGGUUCAAUGGAACAUGUGAUCAUUGUAAAAUUAAAGGGCAUGAGAGGGAAAAUUGCUACAGGUUAAUUGUUUACCCUCCUAACUUCAAGUUCACCAAAAAGAAGAAUUCAACCAGGUAUAUGGUGAAUAAUUUUAUGUUUAGUGAUUCAUCUAAUAUGAAUGUUGUUGUGGUUGGAGACAAUGACUCCACAACUAGUCACCAAGCACCAUUGUUUACUCAUGCAUAGUAUCAAAAAAUUCUAAGUUUGUUGAACAAAGAACCUACUGUUAAAGUUGUGGCAGGUAUGAUAGGUAUUGUUUCACCUGAUAAGUAGAUCUUGGAUACAGGUGCUACCAACCACAUGUUGUCUAAUCUUCAUGGUUUAGAAUCUCCUGUUUCAUGUGCAUCAUCUCUAUAUUGUGUUCAAUUACCUAAUAGAUCCUCUACACCAAUUACACAUAUUGGAUCAUGCAUCAUUCACUCUGAUCUUCACCUUAAAAAUGUUUUUUACAUCUCAAAGUUUUUCUAUAAUCUUCUUUCCAUUUCUAAACUUACCAAAUAUUUGAAUUGUGUUGCUUCUUUUUAUCCUAGUUUUUGUUUUUUGUAAGAUGUUUCAAGUGAAAGUAUGAAAAGGAUUAGUAGAGAACGAGCUAGUCUUUACAUCUUGCAAUUUUCUAAUGCUCUAAACACAGUCACAACAUCUACCUUAUCCACCUUAGUAGCUUUUACAUUUGAUUCCAAAAUCUUUACAGCCUCUACAAAUGUUGAUUGCACUUUUCUUUGGCAUACAAAAAUUGGCCAUGCUUCUCUCUAAAGGUUGAACAAUGUGCCUAAUCUCCCUUGCUCAAUUUCGAAUAGUGAUCAAGUUCAACAAUGCCCCAUUUGUCCAUUAGCCAAACAAACUAGGUUGCCAUUUCCACUUAGUACAACUCGAGCAAAUACUAUUUUUUCCUUCAUUCAUAUUGAUCUGUGGGGAUCCUAUAGAGUUUCUACUCAUGGUGGUUAAGGAUCCUAUAGAGUCUCUACUCAUGGUGGUCAUAGGUAUUUUUUUAACCAUUUUAGAUGAUUUUUUCUGGACUGUCAUAGGUGCAUCUUUUAAAUCUGAAAAGUGAUGCUAUUGUACAACUUAAACAUUUAUUUUUUAUGAUAAAAAAUCAGUUUUCAGCAAAUGUAAAGAUCAUUUGUAGUGACAAUGGUUAUGAGUUCUUUAAACAUGAGUGCACUGAUUAUUUCAAUAUGAUGGGGAUUCUGCAUCAGAGUUCAUGUACUCACACUUCAUAACAAAAUGGAGUAGCUGAGCCUAAACAUAGAUAUGUACUUGAGGUUGCUAGGUCCUUGAAGUUUUAAUCAAAUAUGCCUAGCAAAUUAUGGGGGGAAAUGUGUUCUAACAGCCUGUUUUCUAAUCAAUAGGUUACCCACUCUUCUUCUAAACUGGCAAAGUCCUUUUGAAGUUUUUUUACAAUCAAAAACCUAAUUUUUCUCGCCUAAAAGUUUUUAGUUGUCUUUGUUAUUAGACCACACUUCAUUAUCAAGAAAAAUUUUCUCCCAAAGAUAAUCCAUCUAUGUUUAUAGGAUAUCCUGGUGUUUAAAAAGGGUACCUGUUGUUCAACCUUGCCACCAAGACCUUUUUUAUUAACCGCGAUUUUGUGUUUUAUGGAAUUGUUUUUCCAUUUAAGUUUCCUACCAAGGCUUCUUUUAUUUUUUCCUACACAAGAUGACUCAUUUUUUCCUCAAUAUUGAACCUUUGCCUAUUGUUCCCCACUUACAUGCUUCCUCACCUUUCUCAAAUACACUUAUCACCUCCCAUGACCUUCUUGUUCUAUUUGAAUUUCUUUUAACUGAACCAUCAAUUCUUUCUCCACCUCAUUUUCUUCCCAGGCAUUUCUCACCUACCUUGCCACCAUUAAGGCGUACUUGUUGACCCUCUAGACAACCUGCAUGGAUGAAAGAUUAUGCUUGUUCCAAUCAAUCCUCUACUCCAAUUGAUACAAGUUCUUAUUAUAUUUCCCAAGUGCAUUCUAUUUCCCACUUACCUACUCAUACUCAAAUGUUUGCUGCUAGUAUAUCUACUAUACCUGAAUCCCAAUCAUACAAAGCUACGAAACAAGAUAUUCGAGCCCUGGAAGAGAAUGGCACGUGGGAAAUAGUCCCUUUACCACUGGAAAAGUUCCCAUUGGCUACAAAUAGGUGUAUAAAGUCAAAUACCACUCCAAUGGUUCUGUUGAACGGUUUAAGGCAUGAGUGGUGGGUAAAGCUUUUAAGCAACAAGUAAGAGUUAAUUUUCAGGAGUUUUUUUCUCCUAUGGUUAAGCAGGUGACCAUGCGUACAGUAAUUAUUGUGGCUACUAUGCAUAAUUGGCCUCUCUUCCAAAUGGAUGUUUAUAAUGCAUUCUUACAGGGCGUUUUAUACGAGGAGGUUUAUAUGGACAUCCCUGAGGGGUUUCACAGACAAAGAGAGUACAAGGUCUAUCGUUUGCUCAAAUUUUUGUAUGGUUUGAAACAUGCUUCUCAACAAUAAAAAUUAAAACUCACAGAAGUUCUGGUGGUUGGUGGUUACAUCCAAAGUAGGUAUGAUUAUUUGUUGUUUACCAAACGAGAAGGAAAUAAGAUUGUGAUUUUAUUGGUGUAUGUUGAUGACUUGUUGAUCACUGGAAAUGACAUUAGAAUGGUCAAUGAGUUAAAGAAGGUGUUUCACCACAAUUUUAAAAUGAAAGAUUUGAGUGAUUUGAAGUAUUUCCUUGAUAUAGAAGUGGCACAAUCCAACAAGUGUGUUGUACUUAACCAGAAGAAGUACACGUUGGAGUUAAUAGAAGAUGUUGGAUUAGGAGAGGCAAAGCCAGCAAACACACCACUGAACAAAACCAAAAACUCACAUUAGUUGAGAAUGAUGAGUGUACCAAGUUAAAUAAUGACAAUGAUGACUUAAUCCUAAAUGUUGUUGUUUACUAGAGGCUUAUAAGGCGAUUGUUGUACCUAACUAAUACAAGACCAGACAUAUCUUUUGUGGUUCAACAUUUGAGCCAGUUUAUUCAAAAGCCAGAAAAAUCUCAUUUAGAAGCAGCUCUUCCAGUAGUUAGAUACAUUAAGAAGGAUCCUAGUCAACAAAUUCUAUUGUCAGCAUCUGGUAAAUCACAACUGGUUGUGUACUGUGACUCAAAUUGGGCUACAUGUCCUAUGUCCAUGAGGUCAAUCAUUGGUUUUUGUGUGAAGCUUGAAGACUCCCUAAUUUUUUGGAAAUCGAAGAAGCAAAGCACAAUCUUAUGCUCAUCAGCAGAAGUAGAAUAUAGGAGUAUGGUAGCAGUAGUAGUAAAAAUUGUAUGGUUAAAUGCCUUAUUAAAGGAAAUAUGCCUUGAAUAAAUAGAUACAAUGUUAUUAUUUUUUAAAAGCUAAGCAACUUUUCAGAUUGCAGCAAAUCUAGCCUUCCAUGAAUGCACUAAGCACAUAGAGAUUUAUUGUCAUUUUGUGCGGGAUAAAAUUCAAGAUGGGCUAGUUCGAACGCAACACAUGAGGAUAAUUGAGCAACUUGCAAAUUUGAUGACCAAAGCGCUUGGAUUCCAACAACAUGAAUUCUUAGUAUCCAAGUAAGGAGUUAAAGACUUGUACAACCCUCAACUUGAGGGGGAGUGUUGGCGGGAUAACUAAUAGCUGGUAGUUAGUUAGCUAAAAUAGUUAGUUGGUUAGAAGUCAAUUGCUAGGUAGUAGCUAAUGUAUAUAAACAACAAUAUACUAAUUAUGAAAACAAGCUUGAAAGUUUUUCAACUUUGAUUCAUUUUUUCCUCUGUUCAAUCGAUUGUUUCGUUAUUUGCUGCUAUCUCAACAGAUUCAACUAGGGAUGUAGGCAGACAGUAGUGGUGGGUGGCGAAUUGAUAUUUAGGCCAUUUGUGCAAAUGCCACAAGUGGUUCAAUGUUGUAUGCUAAUUUUUGAAUUUUUUUCUCUUUUAGUAAUUUGUAAAGAAUAAAAAUAUACCAUGAAAAUUCAAAAGUUCAAGGCUUUUGGUUCAAUAAAGGCUCAAUAUUUUUUGUCCAAUAGAAGUUUAAUUUAAGAAUUAGAUCUAGAGACUUAAAUUAAAAGUUAAAAUUCAAUAUUCUAAUUAUGCUUUAAAGUUUAAUAUCCUGACAUGCCUUAAAAUUCAAAAUCAAAAUAGGCCUAACAAAGUCUAAAAACAAAAAUUUAAUAGAUCAAAACAAGUUUAAAUUAGGUGUUAAUAAAAAAUUCAAUUAAGAUCAAUCAAUCAAUAUAUUUAUGGAUAUUGAAAUCUUUUUUUUGACUAGGCUUAUCAUAAAAUGUUGAUUUAAUCUCAGACCAAAUUUAGUUAUUACACAACUUAUGAGACACUAUUUCAAGACAUGUUAAAAAAGAAGCACUUGUCACUAAUAAAAUAACAUGAGAGACAAUUUUUUUUUUUGUUCUUAACAAUAUUCUCAUCACAGGAAUAUUAUUUAUUGUGACAUCUUUUUUUGCCACAAAUUUAUUCUCAGAAUCAAAAAGAUUUUCCACAGAAAGAAAUAUAGUGACAAUUUAAUUUUGUUACAAUUGCUUGUGAGUUUAGUGUAAAAAAAUUGGUCACAAACAAAUUUAAUAAUUGUGCCUAUUUAAUUUGUCACAAUUGCUUAAGAUUUUUAGUGUACAAAACUUGGCCAUAAAAAAUUGAAUAGUUGUGACCAUUUACAUUUGACAUAAUUACUUACAAUUUUAGUAUUUGACAUUUUGGUCACAAAAAAUUGAAUACCUGUUACCAUUUAUUUUUUUUCACAAUUGCUUACAGUUUUUAUGUCAAAAAUUUCAUCACAAAAAUAUUGAAUAAUUGUGACGAUUUCAUAACAGCUGUUACAAGUACAAUCGGGACAAAGGUAUUGUGACGACAAAUGAUGCCUUUAAUUUUAAUUACUAUAGAUAAUAGUAACUAAAAUUUAUAAUUUUAGUGAUUAUUUUUUUUCCCACUAAAAAUGUUUUUUCUUGGAGCGAAAAGGCAUUCCUUGUUUGGUUUUUCGUUUUAUUACCAAAAAAGAAAAGCUUAAUCUUAGAAUUCCAGCUUUUAUUUCGUAAAUGUUAAUUGAGUUGACAGUUUUAUGUAGUCAAAUAAUACUAAGUAUAAGCAAGUCGGUUUUUAUCGUAAACCUUUAUAAAAAAACUAGACCAAAUUUAGUUUUAUCUCUAAGGAAAAUUACAAAAGAAACAAUCAAAUUAUAAAGAUUUUAAUUAAAGAAAUUAAUGUACUGUUUGAUAAACUAAACAAUGAAGUACUACAAGGGUUGAAUAUUUAAGUAUUAAAGAAGUUAAUAAUGGUCGAUUGAGUUUUAACUCGAAUGGUAUGGACAUUGUUGUCAAAACAGGAGGACGUGGGUUUGAGUGCGCUGAAGUGAAUUAUCCUCCAAUUGAUGGAUUAGAGAGGAGUUAUGAGUAGUUCUAGACAUUAUAUUAAAAAGAGUAAAUAUGAUUAAAACCUAUACUGAGAUUGUUCAAAAAAAAUUAAUAUUGAAUUUAAGUUGUAAAAUUUGUUUGGCAUUUUUCUUAAAAUUAGGUAUGAAAUAUAAUUAGAUUAUUUGAUAAAUUUAAAUUUUAAAGUAAAUUAUUUAAAAGAAAUAAAUUAGAUUAAAUUAUAAGUCACAUAUUACCUACUUAACAUUUUUUAUACUUUUUCACUACUAUUUAUUAUGAUUAUCAAAUCGAAAAAAAAUAGAAACAGAUAAAUUUAAAAUAGUUGAUUUAGUUACAAAUCUCACAAUUUAUAUAAUUACAUGUCAGUAUAUAAUAUUUUUUGGUGAAUUACAAUAAUAGGGCAAAGCUCAAAUAACAAACAUAAUUAAUGUGAUUCAAACAUAACCAUACCUAUGACAAUGAACACCCUUAACCAUCAGGCCAUCACAUGGGAUUGUCAACAUGUAAUAUUUUAAUGAUAAAAAAUUAUCAACAAUUGAUGUUUCACAACUAUUGUAAGAGAUAUUGCUUUAAAAAUAUAAAAAUAAAACAAAAACAAGUUUUAAAAUAAUAUCUAAACGUUAUUUCACAUCAGAUUAGAAGGAAAUUAAAUAAAAACAUUAAUGAAAAGUUACCAUGAAUAUGAAACAUGUCAUCAAUUUUACAUAUUUCCCUAUUAUUUUUGGCCUAAAAAUAUGUAGCUUUUCAUGUAUAUGUAAUUUUUUUUUAUUAUAAAGGUGAAAACAAGCAGGGGUUGAACGAGUUUAAUUAUUUUCUUCAUACAUUCUUUACAUAUUCAUAAUUUUAUAAUUUAAUCCUUCUGCCAAAGAUUAUAAUUUUAAUUUACUUAAUAACAUUUUUUAAAAAAAAUCGUCUCCAUUAAAUUUUAUUUGUUAUAUUUAAUUAUGAAAUAACUGAUCAUUAUUAUGAUUAAUUACGUUCUUGAUUUUGAAGUAUUCAUUAUAUUGAAUAUUAUUCAAAUAUAUUUUUAAUAAAAUUGAUUAUUUUUUUUGGAAAACAUACUAUCUAUAUUAAACUAACAUAAUAAAAAAUUAACUACCCUAUCAAUCUCAAGAACAAGUAAUAGAUCUUUAGGAAUGUCUUCAAACACAUGCAUAUAUGUACUUCUUGUCGUGGCCAUCUUUGCAACACGAUCUGCAACUUGGUUUCUCUCUCUAGGAAUAUGCUUUUAUCUUUCAAUUUUGUUUAACUUGUAAGCUCAUGUGAAUCCUUCGUAACAAAGCUGAGGAAAAAAAAUCUGCCAAAUGAAUAUCUUGAACGGCUUUGACUACCUCUAGAUUAUCUGUGUAUCAUAACAUUUUGAUAUCCCUUCCUUUGGAUGAAGGACAAAUCAUUUAGAAUACCCUAGAGUUCAACAUAAAAAACUGAGCAAAACCCCAUAUAUCGAUUAAAUCCAAGGAUCUAUUCCCUUUAUUGCUUAUACAUCACCCUCAGCAGUAGCAACUCUUGCACCCAUCUUAACAAACCCAUUAGUAUAUAGUUGAAUCUAAUUACAUAUAAUAGAAGUUUCAUAAGCAGUAUUAAAGUGUUCUGCUCUAUGAUCUAAAAAAUAUUUUUUUGCCCAGCUCACAGAAGACUUAAUAGUUUCAGGGCAAUUCCAAGUUAUUCCUUGGAAGAUAAAAAGAUUUUUGUUCUUCCAUAUGCGCCAAGAAAUUAUACCAAAAAGACUUGCCCAAAGGCUACCCACAUCCAGUAACUAGAUUAAGGAGCAUAAAUUCAUCUCCAUCCAUUCAAUCAGAUCACCUACAAAAAACAUGCUUUGAAUUUCCAUCGAUACGAAUUGAAGCCAAAAUUCUCUUGCCACAAGACAGUCUCAAAGGACAUGAAUUAAGUCUUUAUCGCUAUGCCAACAUAACGAACACGAACUAUGUUGGUGGAUACCCCUCCUUAACCGUUCUGUAUUUGUUAGAAGGAAUUGUUUGAAGACUAACCAUAAAAAUAACCGAAUAUGUUGAGGACUCAUAAAUUUCCAAAUAGCUUUCCACCAUCUAUCUUUAGUAUGCCAAUAACUCUCUUGAAGUGAUCUACACUUUUCACAAAAAAUAAAAGACCCAAUGGAGGUGUCAAUCCAAUUUAUUUUAUCAUCCCUUGCAUAGGGAUGUGGACGGGGAAUACUAAUAAUUCUUUUAACAAUAUCCUCCUACAAUCAGACCCUAAACAAGUCCAAACUCCAUGCCCCAUCUUUAGUUACCAUGUCACGCAGUAAACCAACCGAGAUGAUAUUAUUUUGAGAAUGAACAUAAUUUAUCAAAGGACCUAAGUUAGCAAUCGAAUUAUACUUCCAACAUCGGACAGAGUUCUCGGUUCCUACAGACGAAACUAAGUUUUAGUGCAAUAAAGGCCAUACUUUAGCAAUGGCUCUCCAAAUUGCUAAACAGUUGUCUUGCACUAUACUUUUAGGUACCUUCUCUAUCAUCUUGAUCCUCUAAAUGCCGAAAUAUGAGACCACCACAAGAAUGAGGUUGGGAAAUAGAUUCACAAUCAACUAAAGAAAUAUUCCUAACACCACUAGAAGUGUAACACCCCUAACCUAAAUCCUUCUCCAGAUCAGGGUUACAGAGCAUAAUUGGAGUUUACAAAUUAAUUAUCAGAGAUUUCAUUUCAUCUAGCAUUCAUAUUAGAAACCAAUCAAAAUCAUACAUAUUGUCCCUUAAACGACCCCUCGAGGCCCAAAUUACGCAUUAGAAACAAAUAGGGACUAAGUUGAAGACUCAGAAAAUUUUUCAGAAAUAUUUAAAAUUUUCAACACUGUAGGGGUCACACGGCUGUGUCACCUGACCGUGUGUCACACAUGGUUGAGACACACACUCGUGUCUCUGCCCGUGUGGAUGAAAAUAGGCCAUUUUACAAGCCAUAUUUCUCACCUAAUUCUAUGUCAAUCUACAUUCAACAUUACACAUAUCAACAAGCCAUAAUUAGACAUCCAAAACAACAAAAAUAAGUGGCUAACCCAACAAAUUACGUAUAGACCAUCAUUAAACAAAAUACCUAUACAUGUCAUUAUGACCAAAAUCAAAACAUUCGAAAGUACCGAUAGAACCGAUGGAUAGUGUGAUACAAUUUCGACAAGCUUCCAACCUAAUCAAGCUUCUGAUAAUCUGAAAAGUAAAGGAAAACAAAUAAAUAAGCAAUGAAUGCUUAAUAAGCUCUUAUAAAAUCUAAUCAUAGCACUUCUUUUCAAAUAUGAAAUUUAAACAUAUCAAGAAUAAUCCAAUAUUGAUACCACAAUACUCAUGAAGUUAUAUUUAACAUCUCAUUAAGUGAAUAAAUCUAUAGUAUCACUUAUACAUAUUAUUCUUAGCGUAGUAGGAUUUUAAACAACUUUAACUCUUCUAAAUUUCUUUAUUUUCAUUUGCGUUUCUUUACUUUCCACAUUCAUUCCGUAUACAUAAUACACCAAUCAUAAGCAUAUCAUUUUUUAUUAUUUUUUCAUAUACAUAUACCAUCCAAGAAAACUCCCGAUAACUUACCAUUCAAAAAACAACUUACGGAUAUGAGUACAAUCAUUUUCAGAAGCCCGAAGGCGAAAUUGAAGCGCAUAAGUGCGAAACAGAAACCCAUAAAGGUUGAAUAGAAGCUCAUAAGAGCUAAAUGGAAACUCAUAAAAGUUAAACAGAAGCUCAAAAGAGCUUAAUGGAAACCCAUUAGGGUUGAAUAGAAGCUCGUAAGAGCUGAACGGAAACCCAAUAGGGUUAAAUGCAAACUCAUAUGAGUUAAUAGAAGCUCAUGAGAGCUAAACAGAAAGUAAACACGAAAGUUCACAAAAAAUGCUGAACCUCGAUUUACUUGGGUAAUUUUCUGUCAAUUCAUCCUUUGCAUUUUCCAUCAAUUCAUCCUUUGCCACAAAACGAUUGUACUCAAUCCCGCGUUCCACUCGUUUUGAACAUUCAAUUCAAUUUCAUAAUUUAACAAUAAUUUUAUUUUCAACAAUAGAUAUGAAUAAAUACAUAAUACCAUUCAUAAAUUUAAUAAAUAAACAUUAAAUUUUAACCAUACGAACUUACCUGAAUUGAAUUGAAAUAUUCGCAGGAGUUCAAGGACUAUUUCUCUAUUUUUCUUUUUUCACGAGUAUCUUCAGAAUCUUGUUCUAAAAUAUAAAAUUUCUUAUUCAUUAGCAUAUAUUUAAAUUCCAAUUUAUUCCACAAUUUAUACCCUUUAAAUUUUCAAAUUUACACAAUUACCCCAGCUUUUACAACUUUUACAAUUUAGUCCAUCAACUAGUUAAUCUAUUAAAUCAAUUAAUUUUUUUCUCGAUUAAUAAUUUAUCCAAAUAUUCUAGGCUAUCAUAAAGCCCUUAAUAAAAUAUAAAUUUAAUACCAAACCCUAAUAUUUUAACUAUUUUCACAAUUAGAUGCUAACAUCAAUAUUUAACAAAAUCACUUUAUAUUAUCAUCAUACAACAAAUUUAAUGCUCUAAACCCACUUGAUAUUAAUAAUUUCUUUCAAUACAUUGAUUUAGAAAAUAAAAAAAAAUUCAUUUCAUGCAAUUUUGGCCAUUUUGACAUUUUUACAAAAUUGCCCCUACAAUUUUACUUUUAUUCAAUUUAGUCCCUAAGCCUAAAACAUGCAAAUUAGCCAUUUUUAAUGUAAAUCCAUGCUAGCUGAAUAUUCAUAUAUUUUUUUCCUCCUCCUCCUCUCCAUUCCACAUCCUUAAUGUAUAUAACAUGCUUAUAUGUAACAUUAUCUAUAAUUCAACAAUUUACUUAAUGUUCAUUCAAAGCUAUCCACUUGAGUCAUAGUUACUAAAUUAUUUAUAUCUUGAGCUACAGAAUUCUAAAUUAAGAAACGUUUGAUGUUUUUGAAACUAGACUCAAAUAUCUUUCUAUCAUAAAAUUUCAUAAUUUAUAAUUUACCCAAUAAGUACAGUAAAAUCUUCAAAUUUAUCCCUAUUCUGCUGUUUGACAGCUUCAACCUUUCUUUACUAAAAAUUAAUUAUCUCUUAGUAUGGUGUUUGGAUGAUGUUUCCAUUUGUUUUUCUUGAAAAUAUAAUCAUUAAGGAUUAAAAAAUAUAAAUUUAAACCGCUAAUUAUUUUUUUUACAAUUUUUGAUGAUUUUCCAAAGUCAGAACAGGGGAACCCGAAAGCAUUCUGACCUUGUCUCAUAAAAUUUUACAUCUCAUAAUUUACAAUUCCAUUGCUUACACCGUUUCUUCUAUGAAAAACUAGACUCAAUAAAAUUUAAUUUCUAUUUUAUUCAACCUCUAAUUCGAUUUCCACAAUUUUUGGUGAUUUUUCAAAGUUGAACCAUUGCUGCUGUCCAGAAACUAUUUUAAUGUUAAUUUUACUCUUUCAUGUUUCUUAGUAUUAACUUUCAUUUAGACAUACAUGAUCAUUAUACUUUUAAUUAUUGUCCAAUUUAGUCCUUAAAACUCACUUAUCAUCAACUUUUAUUAUAACUUCUCUUAUUUCAAUUAUAAAUUUCACAAGUUUACAAUUUAAUUCCUAAAAUCUUGAAAUUUCAUUAUUUACUAUAAUUUCACUUUAACAUCACUUUGUAACUAAUUCACUAACACUUAACAUUCCAUUUAAACUUCCUAACACAAUACUUUAUUUCACACAUAAAAUUUUGUACACUUUACAAUUUAGUCCUUACUAUAAAGAAAAAUUAAUGUAACUUGAAAUUUUCCUACACAUUCACUUUUUAUAUCAUCACACUUCAUUUGUAUUCUCUUUUAAACAUUCAAUUUCACAUAACCUAUUUUGUUUACUUUACAAUUUAUUCUCUUUUUCUACUACUUCAAUAUACCAUUUUAAUUUUCAUACAUAAUAUUAGCACAUUCACAAUUAAUUCAACUUCAAAAUUAUCAUUACUCUUCAAAAUUAUCUUCCUUGCUAAAUGAUCAUUUUGGCCUUUAUGAUAUUUUGAAAUUUCAUCCUUGAGUCAUCACUUAAUUUGGUAAAAUUAUGAUUUAGUCCCUCAUAAUUCUUCACCUAUUCAAUUUGGUCCUAAUUCAUCCAUUUUCCUUAGUUUCUAGAUUAUUCCACCCUUAAAAUAUUUGCAAUAUUGGUCUUUCAAAUUUUUCAUAUUUAUACUUUAACCCCUCAAAUUUUGAGUAUUUACUCUUGGGCCACAAAACUUUUCUCAAUUUUGCAAUUGAGUCCUUUCUUGGACUUAAUAUAUCAUAAUAUAUUUUUCAAUGUUGACAUAACUCAAAAUUUCCCUUUUUGUCACUUUAUUUCCUUAUUUUACUAUAUCAAGAAUAAUAUCUUACUUUCUUACUGUAGUAAUUUUUGGGGUAUUACAAGAAGAGCCUCAUAUGAAUUGUCUAGCCAAUCGUUCAAUUUCAUCACAUAUACCUUUAGGAAUCCGCAUAGACUACAUAAAGUAAUUAGGGAUAGAAAGGAGAACGGACUGAGCAAAAGUGACUCUACUUGCCAAUGAUAGCUGUUUAGUGUCUUAGUUAUUAAGUUUGCUCCGCACCUUCUCCACCACAAACCUCAAAAUAGAGCAAGUAACUCUGUCAUGGAAUAAAAACACACCUAGAUAGGUAACAAGAUUAUGUACCUUUUGAAACCCAAGUAGGCUAGUCAAUCUAUCACUAAGGUCAACAUCCACUCCUCCAAAAAAGAAGAUAAUAGUUUUUCGAGCAUUAACUCGAUGACUUAAGAUACCGUAAAAUUUUUUAAGAAUAUCCUUAAGGGCCAUAGCAUGCUUCAAAUCCACCUUAGAUAAAAUAACCAAUUCAUCUGCAAAGAACAAGUGAGAUAGAUUAAGUCUCGAACGAGAUAAUCUAAUAGGACUUCACUUGUCGCCAGAAAUAGCCGACUGAAUACCAUGUCCUAACCAUUCUAUAAAUUGCAUAAAUAGAUAAGGGGAUAGCAAACAUCCCUAUCUAACCCUUAUCAGAGGCUUAAACUUUGGAGUUGGCACUCCAUUCUACAAAAUCUGCAUGGUAGAGUUAGAAAUUGCUGACAUGAUCACUCUCCUAAUGAUCUCCGGUAUGCCAACAGCCUAAAGGGAACCAUCAAUAAAAUCUCACCUUAACCUAUCAUAAGCCUUUUCGAGAUCAAUUUUAACAACCAUCCAUAUUUUAUUCUUAACCUUUAUUGUAAUAGCCCGCUUUUAGGGUUAAUCAGACUAGUGGUUUAGGGACCACAACCCAAAGUCAAAAUAUUUAUUUUAAUAUUUUAUUAAGGUUUACAGCAUGAUAUAAUUAUUGUGUAAAAAUUUCAUAAAGAAAUUUUAUCGUUUAAGUGUUUAAUUUGGUAAAAAGGACUAAAUCGCGUAAAGCGUAAAAGUUGUGUUCUAUAAGCUAAAGGUGUCAAAUAGCUAUAGAAAUUAAAAUUGAAGGUACUUAUGUGGUAAAUAGACCAUUUAUGAGAUAGUGGAUGUUAGUGGAGUGGCAUUUGGUGUAAUUACUAAUGUUUUUAAAGGUUAAUUAGGUAAAUAGUUAAUAAAGGUUAAUAUUAAUAAAACAAAAGCCAAAAUCCUUAUUUUUAUCAUCCCUUCCACCGAAAUUUGAAAAUAAUGGCAGCCAUGGAUGAGCUAGGUUUGGCCAACAUUGUUUUUCUCAUUUAAGUAUGGAUUUUGAUCCGUUUUAAAUAAUUUCUAUGUUUUUGAGAUCGUUUCUUCGUAAUCUAGCUAGCCCGUACCUCCGAUUUCAAAAAUGUUAAUGUAUUUGGAUGAUUCCAUUAUUGAAUGUUUGAGUACCUUGAUGUUUAAUGAUAUAAAAUAAAUCUUUGAUGUUAGAUUAAUGAGUUUUGUUAAGUGAAUUUUAGUAAAAAUGUUAAUUUUGGACUAAAUUAUGAAAUAUGAUAAAUUGUGUGGUAAAAGUAUGAAUAAAUUAAAAAUAUGGGCUUUUAUGAGCAUGUAUGAAAUUCAGCUAGCUUGGGCUAUGAUGAAAUUGAUUAAAUUUUCAUUUUACGAGCUUAGGGACUAAUUUGUAAAAAGGUCAAAAGUGUAGGGAUAAAAUAUUAAUUUUACCAAAAUAUGAAAUUGGCUUAAAAUGAAUAUAAUAUGAAUUGAAAUAGCUGAAUUUGAUUUAUUAGAUCAAGUUAAGCCUCGUACGAGUCUAUAUCGAGGGAAAAACAAAGUUUCGGACUAGUCGAUCCAUUUCGACAUUUUAACAAUCAAGGUAAGUUCAUAUGCUAAUAAACGUAUUUAAAUUGUGUUAUAAAUGCUUAUUUAUUAUUGAAUUGAAUUGAAUCAUAUACAUUUAUUUGUCAUUGAACUGCUAUGAGUGUCAAAUGAGCAAGUACGAGUAAGAAUCAACAGAGUUACUAUAUCCGAAAGUCCCAUACGAACCUUAGGAAUAGUAUAGGAUACGAAUGUCAUGACAUUAGGUUAUUGAGAUGUGAUUACAUGUAAGACCAUGUCUGGGACAUUGGCAUUGUAUUAUGAUUACGUAUAAGACCAUGUCUGGGACAUUGGCAUCGUAUUAUGAUUUCAUGUAAGACCCUGUCUGAGACAGUGGCAUCGACAUGUGAUAGCAUGUAAGACCAUAUCUGGGAUAUGGCAUUGUACGAGCUUAUGUGAUUACUGAGUAUCCUUAACAAUUUCAAGUGGUUCAACGGCAUAGAUAAGACGAGAAUUAAAGUACGGUAGGAAUAAGUAAUACAGGUACGUACAGAACUUAUGUGAGAAGCGAGUGAAAGUAAAUUGGUGAGUUCAUAUUGUAUUAUGUAUAUUAAAUAAGAAAAAAUUGUGUAUAAGUAUGUUUCAUGUCAAAAUGUGUUUAUUUGACUAUCAUGAAGUAUAUAUUGAAUGUUAUGUGAGAUAUGAAUAAUAAUUGUUUUAACUAAAUAUACAUAUGGCAAUCGACUAAUAAGAUCAUAACUGGGUUAUGGCACGUGAAAGAAAGACCAUGGCAGGGCCUUGGUGACAUAUGUAAGACCAUAGUUGGACUAUGGCAUCGGAAAAUCAAUAAAUUUGUAUCAUAAUCACUUAUAAACUAGAGAGGUUUGAUAAGAGUAUGGGUGAUAAAUAGAAAGGUGUCAAUACAGGUAUGUACGGAAAACUACUCAAGUAUCGAGUUAUAUAAAGUUGAGAACUUACGAAUGAGGACAUGAAUGGAAAACUAAUCAAGUAUCGAGUUAUAUGAAGUUGAGAACUUGCGAAUGAGGACAUGAGUAAUUUGAUGUUAGCUCAUGAAUUGAUGCUUUAAAUGUUAAUGAUUUAUCUAUUUCGAAUUGCUAUAUGAAUGUUGUGAUCAUUUUAGGCUCACAUAUGAACUUACUAAGCUGUGAAGCUUACUUUGUGUUAUUUUUCUAUGUUUUAUAGUGUCUCAGACAUUCGCUUGAGUUGGGAGUCAACGGAGAUAGCAUCACACUAUCCGGGUAUUGAUUUUCGGUAUUUUACACAUUGUGGCUUGGUUUUAUGGCAUGUAUAGGCUAUGGUCUUUAUGAUAUGGUUGUUAGAAAUGUAUAUGGUUAUUUGAAAUGGCUAAUUAAUGAUUUUGGUUGAUGGUUAUAAUGUGGCCUUAUGAUUUGGCAUGGUUGGUAUAAAAUGUGCAUUUGGUUUAUGUUAUGUAUUUGUGUUUUGGCUUGGAAUACAAAUGUGGUAAUAAUGUGGUUGAAGAAAUGGCAUGUAUUGGAAUGAGUUUGAGAUGAUACAUUGAUAAGCUUUGAUUUGGUUAAUGGUUGAAUGAUAUGAUUGGUUAUUUAGUUAGAAUUUGAGACAUAUGAAAAAUGUUAAAGAUGAUAAAUGAUUCAUGCUAGUUUUGGUAUGUGUUUUGUUUAAGAAAUGGUUGAGAUUUGAGAAGUGAAAUGUAAUGAUUCAAUAUGGUAUGAUUUAUGCUGGAAAUGAUCGCUUUUAGUUGCUUAUUUGGUUGUAUAUUUGGUUCCAUUUGGAUGCCUUAGGAUGCAUGUGACUUAAGUGAGAAAAGUAGCUUAUAACAAGCCUAUUUUCGUGCCACGCGGUUGAACACACGGGCAUGUGACUCAACCGUGUGACCUAUGAUGCUUAAUUAAAACAAGUUAGUGAGUUAUACGGCUUAGACACACGGGCUUGUCUACUGGCCGUGUAUGGCACAUGGGCUGGCACAUGGGCGUGUGAUCCAAGUCAGUAUGUAUGCCCUGUUUUCACACGGCCUGUGACAUAGGUGUGUCUGGUGGUCGUGUGAGGCACACGGCCUGUUCACAUGGGUGUGUGACCCUUAAAUGCAAGAAAAUUUUCUAUGUUUCCCAAAGUUCACAAAUGUUAUCGGUUUAGUCCCGAACCUCUUCUAAGCAUGUUUUAAGGUCUCGUAGAGCCUUAUAAGGGACAAUGUGAAUAUGUUAGAUUGGUAUUUAUGUGAAAUUGAAUCAUGUAUGAGAAAUGUAUAUUUUAUGUUGUGUUUUGAUAGUAAUGCCUCGUAACCCUGCCCAGCGUCGGAUACGGGUUAGGGGUGUUACACUUAUUGAAUGUAUGACCUCCUGGGCUAUAAGGAUAUUAUUCGAAAUAUUUCUUCCCGCAAUAAAAUCAACCUGCUCAUGAGAAAUAAUUUUUGGGAAAAUCAUCCUGAAUCGAUUAGCUAUUACCUUCAUAACAAGCUUGUAUAAGACAGAACAAAGACUAAUAUGUUGAAAUUGUAAAAACUCCUUAGGAUUAGGGACUUUAGGCACAAGAACUAUGAAAGUAUUAUUAAGCUCUUGAUCAAUAGAUUCACCAUUAAAAACUCCUUUAACCCAAUCAUAAAUAGCCUCCCCAAUAUUGUCUCAUUAAUUUUGAAAGAAACAGGCACGUAAACCAUCACUACCUGAAGCUUUUAAGGGCGCCAUAUCAAACAGAGUAGUCUUAAUUUCCUCACUAGAGAUUGCUCUCCCCAAAAAAAUCUUUAUAUCAUUGAUUAAUUUAAGGAAAUGAGCUAGCAGGUAAAACUUCUCCAAGGAUCGAUUGUCCUCCAUAUAGUUUCUGAAAGAAAUUGACUGCCUCUUGUGUAAUAUCCUCUGGAUCGUAAAUCCAAUCCUCUAAUUGGUUUCGCAAGGCAGUAAUACAAUUAGCCUUUCUCCUUUGAAUUGUGUGGCGAUUGAAAGAAUCUAGUAUUUUGAUAUGCCAAAUUAAGUUAAUCAUGUGUGUCAACAAUAUAAAUAAAAUUUUUAGUUUUUUAUUAUAAAAAAUUAAGAACUUAAAAUAUUUUAGUUUUGUUAUAAAUAUUUUAUUAUUAAGUGGAUAUCCAUUAAAAUCAAGAUAAAUUUGAUAUACAUUAAGACUCGAAUGUUCAUUAGGAUCAGAAUUUUAUAUAAUUUAUACUUCCUAUGUCUGUAAUUUAUAUAAAGAUGUAAGACACGAUAUCUUUUUGAAACAAUGCCUAGAAAUACUCAUAAUCUAUCUCCAAUUCUUAAAUAGGAGGAUAAUAAAUUUUAGAGCACUUGAACCCACAACCUCAUGGACUAGUAACAAAGUUGAUGCCGCUCGGGAUAAAACUCAAUCGACUAUGAGACACAAUAUCUUAAACAACAUAUUCAAAUAUAACAAUAUGGAACAUAUAAUAUUUUAUUUUUAUAUUGAUUUUUAUAUUAGUUAAUUUAAUUAUUUAAAAUUUUACGACACUUACUGAUUUAUGUAAUAACAAUAAUUUUUAAAAUGAAUAUAUAUUUGAUUUAUAUUGGUCCUAAUUUAUAUGGAAUUACAUUAAAAAUUGUGAAAUAAAUACAAACUUAAAUAUUUAAUUUUUUAAAUUUAAUAUCAUAUAUGUAUUUUUUAACGAUUAUUAUCAUAUCCAAAUGAAGAUUAAAAAAAUCAAACAUUUAUAUUUACAUCAUUUUUAUUUUUAAUAUAUUAUUUAUUAAACAUUAUAAAUCUUAAAUUUGAUAUAAAAUUAAUAAAUUAAUACAUUUUAAUAAAUAUAUAAAACAAAGCCGUGCAUCGCAUAUAAGAAAAAAAUUAAUACGUUUAUAAAAUUAAGUCACUAAUAAUAUUAUUUUCCAGUUGAUUUAAUUUUUUAAUAAGUUAUUAAAAUAUUUUUUUAACAAAGUAAUACAAAAAUAUUUUUUAUCUUUUAAUUUUUAUAUAAUAAUUUUAAAUAGAGUAAUUUAAACUAUUCCAAAUCUACUUUUUUAACAAAAACAACAAAAUUAUUCCUCUUAACAAAACACCUGAAAAAAAAAA